rnacentral:lncRNA from 1 species
UUUUUUUUUUUUUUUUUUGAAUCAAUCAUUUUUCUGGAUUAUGAAUUGUAUUGGAUUAGGAAUAGGAAGAUUAGAUGUGUUCUGAUUCACACAUUUGGAUUAAAACCUGAUCCUCCAUCACCAUGAUUGAUGGCGGGCUGAUACAUACAACCUAAAUCAACUCGACUCGACUGGAGAAGAUGAAGAGGAGAAACCCGUUCUUUCAGUUACGCUGUUGCGACGGAGACGGUGGAGAAGACACAUGUCACGUGGAGGUAAUGAUUGCUGGCUGUAGCUGAGACGGUGGAUAAUACACAUGUCAUGUGAAGGUGAUGGUCAUUCAUUGCUGGCUUUAGCCGCCAUAGAUGAGAUGAUUGUGCAGAACUCGAAGGUUCCUACUCCCUAGGUUUUUUCUUUUCUUUUCUUUUUUUUUUUUUUAAUUUUUAACUAUCGGUAAUCCUUUUGAUUGAUUUGAGGCCUAAAUUAGUAAAUUUGGAACCUAAUGCAGUCUUAACGUGACAUGUGUCUUUCUUUUUUUUUUGGGGACAAAUUUAAUGAUAGUGAUUUUGUUGUACUCUAUGGCCAUCCUCAUCUAUUAUUAGAGGCGGACCAGCACCCCACCCAACCCAACCAAAAUUAUUCUUCUUUCAUAUCAUUCGUCCAUCGCGGGGACUUUUGAUUUGCUUUUUGGUUGUACUUUUGAUUAAUCCCAAAAGCCAAUCAGUUCGUCAUUAUCAUCAUCUACUCGUUGUCCAAAUAAAGCUUCGAUGAAAUAAUACUUGAAGAUAGAUUAAUAAUCUUAAUCUCGAUUUCUGAUUGGUGUCGUAAUAAUAAUUCGAUAAAUUUAUAUGAUAAUAUUUUUUUAAAAAAAUUAUAUUUUUAUAAGAUCUACUCAUUAUAUAAAUUAAUAAUUACCUAAUUAAAAAUUAAAUUUUACAUGAUAUGUUUUGUGACUUUUGGAAAAUAAAUUCUCAAUGUUGCUUCCUAUUUUUUAAAGUUAAUUUAGAAUUAAAAUUUAUCCCUGAACUCUUUUUAUAAUGUAAAAUUUCAAUUUAUAUUUUCACUUACAACAAGCACAAGACGGACUUCCUAUGUCAUUUUUAAUAUAAAAAUAAUAAAUUUAUAAUAAUUUAAUUAAUAUCAAAGACAACUAACUACUAUUGAAAUAAAACAUAAGAAAUACUAAAUCAAGGUAAAUAAAAAUUAAAAAAUAAAGAUUUUUUCGUAAAUUAAAAAUAAGUUAAUUUAUUAAUAUAUUAAUAUUCACGAUAUUUAGGUUACUAUAAAAGGAGUUCGCAAUCCUUUUUUUUCUUCAUUCAAAGUUCUCUAAUAUGAUUUUUAUUAUUCAAAAAUUUAGUUUCUCUUAUCCAAAAAUCUUUUAUAUUUCCACAUCGUCAUUAUCUUGUAAUUUUGAUGUCAGUGACUUAGUUUCAUGGAAAUAAUUUUAAUUGCUUUAGUUUAUUUUGAUGUUUUUGUGUUGGUAAUAUGAUUUUAUUCUUUUACUUGAUCACAAUUAAAUCAAGUUCAAAAUAAAAGUAUAAUUAUUUAGGGAUUGGAUAUCCUUGAAGAUCUCCUUUAUUAUUAAGAUUGUGACUAUUAGCGCCCCUCCAAAAUCCUAUUGAAACCCCUUUUUCAAUUAUAUUUCAUUUAAUGCCAAAAAUAUCUUCUUCUUUUUUUCCAAAUGAACACUCUUUUUAUUUUUGAAUUUUUGAAUUUUUGAAUUUCUAAUAUUUUUCUCACUCUUUCAACCUUACUAUUAGUUUGAGAAUUCUUAAAAAAUUAUUUACAGUAGGAUAAAAUUUUAUUUUACUUAUUUUUCCACUGUAUUGUAUCUUAAUUAAGUUGUUAUGUUUAUUACAAGAAUUUUGUUUUAGCUUAGAGGAUUACUUCUUAAAUUCAUAUUAUUUUAUUGAUAAUAAAAUAUAUUUAUAUUGUGCAAGUAAAAUAAAAUUGAAGAGAACAAGAAAAUAUAAAUGGCUUAAUUUUAUUUAUAUUUGUCCUUAAAUGUAAUUAUAAUAUAACAGGGGUUUUAUAAGAUUAAUGAAGGGGUGGCAAUAGUCCAACUCUAUUAUUAAUUUGGGGAUCUUCAUUUCCCUUCCUCAAGCAAUUUUAAAGGGGAUGAGAAGGGUACGAGAAUAUAAACAGAGCAUCGAAAAUGGGUAUGGAGACGUCAAUCUCCUCCCCUUCCAUUUCCAUUGCCAUCCAACAUGUGUUGUGGGUUAAUUAUUGGUAACACCUACUUGCUCAAUCCACACAAAAAUGGUAACUAAUGAGGAAAAGUACAGGAUAAGGCCGCUCCUUAUUUAAUAUAUUAUAAGUAUAUAAUUAAUUGUGAUUAAAUUGAUAAUAAUGGUAAUUGACAUGGUUAGGAUAUUUAGACUUAAAUUCUUGACUACAAAUUUUGACAAAAUUGGUAAGCUAUUGAUUUCAAGUAAUCCAAUUGUAGAUAUUGAAAUUUAAAGUAGCAUUUAGUGGGGGUUAGUAUCAUCUAUCUUUGGAUUGCUUGAAACAAUAGCUCAAAAAUUGUAUCAAAAUUUUAAGUCAAGAGUCUUAAGUUAAAUUUUUAUUUUUGUUAAUUUAAUAUCAUUUUCACUUUACUGAAAUGAGAAUGAUUUGAUUAGAGAAUUAUUCUACACAUAUGCGGCAAGAUGCAUGCACGUAGAGCAAAUUAUAGAUAAAUAGAUAUACAUACCAAUUCAAUUAUUAUUAUUAUUAAUGUGGAUGAAGCUUAGAGAAUAAACCUCUCGACCGUGUGCUUUACGUGUAGAGAGUCUUUAUAUUGUGGAGACUCGCCUGAUCUUUGUCUAAUCACACUAAUGCUUUUGCUAAUUGCUAUGAGAUUCAUGGAAAAUAAUUUAAAAAUGAACAGGGGAGCAACAACUAGGAAUGCUAGCUGGCAAAUUUCAAGUAAUUUUCAAGAACAAGGCCCACGGUAUCGCUAGGCUCUAGCUAGUUGAUUUUAUUUUUAUCUUUAAUUUACAAGAUAUUCUUUCCUAGCUAUUACAUAUUAUAUGACAUCUUCAGUUUGAGUGGAAAACUUAGGAAAAGCGUUAAUUCCUUCGGCAAAAUUAAAUUAAUUAUUACGUUUCCAUUAGUCUCAUGUCAUACAUUUGGAUAACAUGGUAUAAUAUGUAGCUCAUAAAAUCAAGAUUCUAAUUCUCUCAUCAAUUAGCAUCUAACAUACUAAUAUAUAAUUCUGGUUUACUUGGCCAAUACCAAAACUAAUUAAUAAGAUAUCCAUCAUCUUUCUCAGAAAAUAAUUUUGUUGUUGUCCAAAGCAUCAUUUAUUUAUUUAAAAGUAGUGGUACACAUUUCAAAUUUUUUAUCCCAAACAACUAUCCUAAAUGAUGUGGUAUUUAUCAAUUGGUUAGUGAGAUAAUACAAUUAAUUUACUUGUAUUUUGUAAAAAAUUAUCAAUCAAUUAAUGAAUACCAUAUCAUUUGCAAUAAUUAUUUGGAAUAAAAAAUUUGGAAUGUCUAUGAUUACUCUUUAUUUAAAGUAACUGAUGAAAAUCCGGCUACUAAAGCAUGACAAGAUCCAUUAAGCAUCAAUUGGUAUCAGAGCUUAGGUUCUAAAUCUAGUUUGAUCAUUAUGAAUAUAUUUAGUUUUUCUAAUUCUGCAUAAUUUUGUUUCUUAAUUUUUGUUUAAAUCCAUAAACCUAUCUUCUUUAAUUAUUCUUUUCCCCAACUUUGCCUUGAUCCUUCAAGUUCUGCUCUUCUCAUUUAAAAGAAAAAACCAAAAAAUAAAGAAAGUUUCAAAAAUCAAUUGAAUUUAAAGAGUAGCUUGCUAUUCAAGUCUUGCCUAUUCCAAUUUUCAGCAAUUAAAAAAAAUGGGGGUAAUUCUAAUUGCAUCAAGAUUUAUAAUUUUUUUUCUUUAUUUGAUUAUGAUUUGUUAAGAUUGGAUUGUUGCAAGUGAAUUUUGGUAGAGUUCAUUUAGUUCAAUAAAGAAAUAAAGGAGAAAAUUAAAGAAUGGAGAAAGACAUGAGUGUGUGAGCUUAUAAGAGGGUAAAAGGCAUAUUUGAGUAAACACGAGUGUGAGUACUAUCAAUGUUGAGUGGAAACACGUGAGGAGUAUUCGUGAGGUUUUCUAACUUUGUUUUGUAGGUUACUAAAUAUGUCUCAAGACAGAAAUCAAUUUCUUUCCAAUGAUGCUCAGGAAAAAGAUAGACUUUAAAUUAUUCUUUAAGUCCUUAGAACAAAAGUUUGAAUGCUUGCAAUUGAGGUUUGAUGAGGUGAAUGAGAGAAUAUAUAAAGUUGAAUCUAGCUCACAAAAGCAGCAACCACUAAAAGCUCUUAAUUUGCAACAAAGAGGGAGAAAUUCAUAUAGGUGUGUUGAUGAAGAUGACUAUAGGGAAGACCUAGAUAACGAAGAUCGUGCUCCUUAUAUUAAUUUAAGUAGAUUUGGGCGAAAGAAUGAAAAUAGAGAGGUUAGAUAUAGAGAUUAAAGUUUAUAAUAAUAGUGAGAGCUUUUCUCUUUGUUUCUUUAGAGAACUAUCAGAACUCAAGAUUUCAUCUUAUGGCAUUCUUUCUUGACUUAUCACUCACAAUCUUCUCUUCUUCCUGGAGUGUGGGGUCAAGCCUAGAUUUCUUAUAUCAUUGGUUCUUAUAUUUAUAGGACAAGAUCUUUAUUUUAUGAUUGUUUGAAUAUAAAUUAGAACGAUCCUUAGUAAAUGAACCUCGUCAACAAGUGUAAGAUCUCACCAAUCUCUGUAAAGUUCACAUCAGUAGCUAGGUAUUCGAGCACAAAUUAAUCAAUUUAUUUGUGAGAGAUUUUCAGCAUUUAAUUUGAUCUAUAGUAAGAAUAUAUGAAAAAUGGGAACGACUAUUUCAAUCGAAGAUUUUUAUUUGAAUUUAGACAUCAAAAUUUGAUUAUUUAUUUAAUGUAAACUAACUGUUUUGACAAUUGCUUACAUGUUAUUAAAAUUGUUUUUAAAAUAGCUUUAAAAAAAAAAAGAGCUGGCACAUUAAGUUGUAGAAAUUUUAAAAGAUUGAGAACAUCUCUAGCUCCUGGUAUUCUUUCCUUAGGUUGCUCAUAAUCUAAUUCAAUCCGCUCAAUCCGUCUGAUCCGUAAAAAUUCGAUUCGUAAAAAUCCAAUCUAUGGACUUAUGGAAGGAUUCGAUGAAAGUUUUAAAAUCUAUAGUUGGUGAAUUAGAUAUGGAUUUUUUUCUUCUAUAAAUCUGCAAAAAUCGGCAAAUGCCAAAAAAAAUUAUUUAAUUAAAAUAGUAAAACUUAUAAACGUGGCAUUACUACCUACUAAUAAAUAAAUAAGUUAAAAUAUAGUUACAUUAAUGUCAUAUUAUAUCACAUGCGAUAAUAAUAUAAAAUAAAAAUAAUAAAAGAAUUGAAUAAUUAAAUAAACAAAUAUAGUUUCCUAAACAAUAAAAAUUCUAAAGUAUUUUGACAAAUUGGAGGUAGACAUUUUGGGCCAUCAUCAAUGCUCUCAAGUUUCAACUUUUAUAUAGAUUUAAAUUCAUAAUUUUAGUUAAUUUUCAAGUAUUGAUCUAAACAAAUGUGAUUUUUUUUUUAGUUUCGGAAUAUUAUAUUUUGAAACUUUGAAUGUAUUAUUCUAGCUUUAUUUAAACAAUUAACUUAUUUAAAUAUUAUUCAGUUUUGAAUUUGAUCGAUAGUAAAAUUAUUUUUAUAUCAAUUUUUUUAUCUAAUUAGUUCGUAGAUUUGACAUAAUUAAAAAUUUUAAUAUGUAAACUAAUUUGAAAAAAUAUGGAUUGGUUAUCGAUUAUGUCAAAUACGCAUAUGAUCCACAAGUAUAUGAAUUGAAUUUGGAUUAAGCUUCACCAAUCCAUAGAUUAGUUUGGAUUCAAAGAUUAUAAUCCAUAAAAUCGUGAAUCAUAUAUAGGUUGAUGUCUAAUUAACAAAAUUCAAUCUACAAACACCCCUAUCUUUAAUUGCUUUUAGCAUAUAUGUUGACACUCAAAAUUUGCAUCGAUGAUAAAAGUUGAGAAAGAGUUGUUCUACUUAGGAAACAGACCAUGAGAGAGGUUGUUGUCCUUGGAUUACCAUUGUUAAGAAUGAAGAGCUUGGAAUCCUACAAAAAAUAAUCCAUCAAAGAAUGCUGGUGACAUAGAACUCCUAUGCUUAAGUUAGAGAUCGAGAGCGGUGCAAUAACAAACAAAUAAUAAGAGAGAGAAGAGACUUAAAGUAUUAUAACCUUCCUCUAAUAUACCUAUUUCUCAUGAUUGUAUCUUUGAGUGAUGACCUUUUUAUUUAAGAGAGAUACUCAUAAGUAUAAUUUAGUUAUGAAAAUUUAUCUGCUAUCUUGUAGGAUUUGACUUUGACAGCGAUUAAGACUUAUAUUGUUUUAUACUAUUUAGAUUAAGACAUGUUAUUGGAUUGUGGUCCUUGGACUAUGAGGUCCAUUCGUUUAUGUCAACGGGUCGAGUUUGGUAAAAAAAUGGUAUAACAAUAAUUUUUUUGGGGAAAAAUAAUAUUUCAUUUUUCUAGCAAAUCGUAUUCUUCCCCGAAGAGAUCAAGUUGAUAUACAUCUGUUUUAACAUCAAACCAGAUAUACAGUUAAUCUCUUUAUUGUUAUUGAUCUCUUGUAUUAUAACCUUUAAUUUGUGUUGUAGCCAGGUAUAAUUGUUUUUGUUUCUUGUUUGAAAAAUUAAUAAUUAAACCAAUUAGUUAGUUUGCUGCUGGUUUCUUCUCUUUUUAUGGUAAAUUUAAUGGGGGUGUAAAAUAGAUGAAUAAUGGCAAAACAAUUCCGUCUUGAUUCUGCAAUUAACUAAUGGUUCAGAAUAACACGUACACUUAUUCUUAUUCUUAUAAUUUUACUAUUAAAAUUCCCAUAUUGAUUCUUUUAACUGAAAAGUGUAGAACAACACAAAGUUCUCUUUUUCCCAAGGCUUGUGAUUAAACUAUAAAUUAAAUUGGAAUGCCUAUUAAGUAAUAGCAACUAAGUAAUAGCAAUGUGAUGAGGGAAUAAAACUUUCUGAGGCCGUGUAGACAGCCAUGUUGUGUAGUGAUUUUCAAAGAUAGUGGGAAACGAAAAAAAAAAAAGAGAUUUUGAGAAUAUAACGUUCCUUUUGCGUGAAACUCUAAUAUAUUAGUGAUAGUAUCUCAUGUUAAUUAAGAAUAUUUGCUAGAUUAAUAAUAUAAUCCUAUGUGAACUAAUUCUUAACUUGUAAGCUAACUUUAAUUUGAGUAUACAUUAAAUCCAUACGUUUUUAUUUAUAUAGAGCCAAACUCACUCACCACCAAAUGGUGCCAAACUCACCCUCGAUCAAGUGGUAAACAUAUGCCACAUCGGGACUGCGUGCGGAUGAAUGAUUUCCCUUAAUUGAUCGCUUCAUGGUGCGCCUUGAUGACCUAGAUUUGAAGCAUUAAUAACGUGAUGAUAAAGUUUUGAUACCAUUCCCUUUGGAAAGGGUAAUAUAUAAUUCUAUUUAAUUAUGUAGGCUAGGAGACAUCACCAAGAAAACUGCUUACUGCUACCCCCUGGACUUGGAAUAGUAUGUAUCAGAGAAGCAACUUUGGAAUAUAUUACCAAGAGAUAUUACAGCAUAAGGGAAGCGAUGCCAAAGCCAAUAGAUAGAGAUUAGAGGAAUAUCUUCUUUGGGUUUGGAAUCGUUUCUUGCUUAUUUCUCUUCUUUUUCUUCCUUAGCCAUUUUGCCUUUACCUUGACAAUAUAUCUAUAUAUAUCGAGCCCAUGGCUACCUUACUAGCUAAGGCUUUCCGCUCAGUUAUAUCUUCUAUUGCAUACUGUUUCUGUUUGUUUCGCUAUCAAGACAAAUUCAAAACCAUCAACGUUAACAACAACAUGCCUAAGGGACGACCACUUUCUUUGCAGGUUUGUUCGCUUAAUUAAUUAAUUUUGCAUGUUUUUCAUCGAUCCCAAUGUGUACGUAGGUAUCUCAUCUCUUUAUUUGGUUUGGCCUUCAACUUUCAUCAUAUAUGGUCCAUGGUUUUUCAUUUUCGAGUUGCCAAAGAAACAAACUUUCUUUUCGUCUAAUUUUAUUUUCAAAAGGUCACUUUUGGCUCCUUAAUGUUAACCAGCUUCAUCACCAUAACUGUUUUUCUGUUUCCAACUUCUUAAGAUACAAAAGAAUAUAUAGGCAAGAGAUUGUUUUUGGCUUUUUGCUUUUUUUUUUUUUCGGGUCUUUAGAAAUAAAAGAACUAAAAAUCUUGUUUUGUUAAUCAGUUUUUAUAAAUAUGAAUUAUAUAUAGAGAGAUACUUUCUCUAAUGCAGCCGUACUCAUUUUUUUUUCAUACAGAUAUAUUUUUAAGUUAUAUAACUUAAUAGUGUCAAUUUUUAAUAUUAUUAAACUAUACGUUUUUAUAAUAUAUUAAAAAUAAAUUAUAUGAAGCCGCAUAUCUUAACAGCUACGGUGUCUGUAAUAAAAAAUCGUCAGCGCGGGAGUGCAUAUAUAUAUAUAUAUAUACACUUUGGCAGCAAUUAGCUCAAAACUUCUUUCGAUCAUUGUUAUGGCUCUUUAAUCACGUUGUCGUUUAGUAUAGCAGCUUUAGGUAUUAAAAUAAAAAUAUAAUAGGUAAAUAAUUAAUAAUAUUACUGCUGGCUGCUUGCUGCGGGCUAUAAAGUGAAUAUAUAUUAAGAUACGUAUCCAUGGUAACCAACAAUUAAUUCGUACGUUUAAUUAGUUAAUCUAAACAAAACAGGUAAUCCCUUUGGUUUCCUAUACUACAUAAAUAUAACUGGCUAAAGUAGACAAGUAGUAAUGCAUAAAGGUAAUUUAAAUUAAAGUGAGCAAAAGGAAAAAAAGAAAAAUGAUCGCGUACGUUGGCAUUUGGCAAAAUCAAAAUCCGUCUGGGAAACGCGUUUUGCUUUGCAGACUGUGGAGCUUAAAGUCCGGAUGUGCUGCACUGGCUGCGAGCGAGUUGUCAAAAACGCCAUUUACAAGCUUAGAGGUACAUAAUUAUAUAGAGCUACCUAGCUAUAGCAAAUUAGUUAUUAAAUCUUUAAAAUGUAUUGGGUAUGUAUGUGUUAAUAACUAUAUAUAUGUUGUACGCGCGUGUAUGUAUGCAUGUUAGGGGUUGAUUCAGUGGAGGUGGAGCUAGAGUUGGAAAAGGUGACGGCGGUGGGGUACGUUGAUCGGAAUAAGGUGCUCAAGGCGGUGAGGAGGGCAGGAAAGAGGGCUGAAUUUUGGCCUUACCCUAAUCCACCAUUGUACUUCACAUCUGCAAAUAAUUAUUUCAAAGACACAACAAAUGAAUUUAAGGAGAGUUACAACUAUUAUAGGCAUGGCUACAAUGUUGGGGACAAGCAUGGAACACUUCCCGUCACUCACCGAGGAGACGACAAAGUCAGCAACAUGUUCAACGACGAUAACGUUAAUGCUUGUUGCCUCAUGUAGGUAGCGUACGUAGCGAUGUGUUUAUUAAUUGUACGUGUAUGUUGUCAUACGUUAAUUAUUUCUCUUAACUAUUCGGUUAUGUAUGUAAAAUGUUAAUUAUUAUAUUUCAUAUAUGCGCAAUGUUUUUGAAGAGAAUAGUCUGUCAAUCAUAUAAUUGCAUUCUACAUGUACAUGUAUAUAGAUACACAGUGAGGUUAUGAUCGUAGACCUCUGGCUUUAUUAAAAUUAGGAUAAGUUAAAAUUAAAAAUUAAAAAAAAAAACAUGUGUAUCUUACAUGAUGAAAUACAUUAUAUUGGAGUCUGUAUUUUAUUUUAUUUUAUUUUUUUGUCUUUUAGCUCAUCUUAGACUUUAAUAUGAUCAGGAAAUCCUAACUGAAAAAUUAUUAUAUACAUCUCUCUCUGUGUGUGCGCACUUGUGAGUGUCCGGGUGUAUGUGUCAAUGCAAGAAUUUUCGUGCACUAGCAGGAGGCCAAAUCAAGUGAUCAGGAUCUUACGUUAAAUACUAGAGAUGGUAAAUGUAGGAAAUAUCUUUUUGCAUAUUUUUCUUUUAGUUGAUCUAAGUUUCUAUCACCUUAGUGAUAAAGUCUUUCAUAGUAGAAAUAGAUACGAAGAGCUGAGAAUCUCAUUAUAACGAGCUUUUGAAGUCACAAAGUAACAGUGAGCUCGAGGAGAUACUUUCCUAUUAGUUAGUCUUCCUUUUAUCCUCGAUCAUCUCUUCAAUUAUUGUUAGUGUUAUCUCUCGAAGUAUUGUUAAUCUUGUUGCCCCAAAAAUGAGAAUAUAAAAAAUAGUCACAGAGAGACAAUGGCGUGUCUACUUUGACGCUCAAGUCAACAAUAGGCCUCUUUAAGACAAAUAAGAAAUGUCUUGUUGAGCUUAAACAAGGAGUAGAGACGAGAAUAAGAGAAUAAGAGAAUGAUGAAUGUAUAUUAAGUGUUAAAGAGCUGGGAGAGAUAGGGAGGCCCCUCCCCAUUUCCAAGAUGGAGCCCACCUUAUGCAACCUACCAAAAAAAAGAAAAGAAUUUGGGAGUCGUUGGAUUUCAAUCCAACGGCUCAUCUAGAAUUUUUAGAUUGUAAUACAAUCUGAGAAUCCUGGAUCUGAUAAUUUCCAUAUAUGUACAUAUAUAAGAAAUGUUCUAAUCCAAAAUUUUAAAGUGCAGUAAAGUUUGAGAAAACGCAUAAACUAUGCAAUUUAUAUACUUUAAGUUUUAAGUCUCUUAAAUCUCAUAAUUUUAAAAUUUUUCCGCACUUUCUUGUUUUUUGAUUUGCAGAGAAAGUGAAAUAUUCAUAUGGCACAUAGCAUAUUCAUUCUACUUGGAUAGAGAACAAAAAUAUUCCCAUAUUAUAUUCCACAUUUUUUUAUCUAUAUCUCACCUCUAAGGAUGGUAAAAUUACAUGCAAAUUCAACCACUUUAGAUAUUUUUAGGAGUUGUAAGCAGGAUUGGUAUUUCAAAUUUAUACCUCACUGCGAGUUGGGAAUGAGUUUGAUAUUUAAAAAAAAAAAAAUCCAGUGGGUUGCCACAUACCACAUUCUUUUUUUUUAAUUUUAAUAAUAAAUAUUAUAUUAAAAAUUUUAAUCAUAAAUAUAUGUAAGUUGAAGUUAUUACUCACAUGAUCUAAUCUUCCUAAUUCUUAAACCUACCUAACCUAACUCAUUGCAGCUGCAUGUCCUGCUCCCUCUAGUUUGUAUUUGUGUGUGUGUGUGUUAGUGUUAAGAUAGUAAUGGUUGUUUAUUAAAAUUGUACUUUUAUUUAUUUAAUUAAUUGUUGACAGUAAUUAUUCAAAAUUUACUUGUUAAUAUUUUUAACAAUACUUGUAUUUUAUUAAAGGAUGGAGCAUAUAAAAGCAUUUUGUGCACUUAGACUUAUAUAUUUUAUGUAUUUGUUAUAAUGUUGAAAUUUUAAUUUUUUAUUUAUAUUAAUAAAAUAUAAAGCUGAGUAUUUUAUGCGGAUAUUUUUUUAGCUAUUGAUAUAAAUUUAUAUUUUUAAUUAUAUAAUUUAAAAUUUUAUGUAUUAUAAUUUUUUUUUAAUGUNNNNNNNNNNNNNUAUAUGUAUUAUAAUUUUUUUUUAAUAUUUAUGAUUUUAAACAUGGAAUUUUUUGUCAUUCUUAUGGUUUAGUAAUUGUUAAAAUCCGUAAGAGAUGAGUUUAGUAAUUUUAAUUUUUUAUUAGUGCGGUUUUAAUAAAGACAAAUUAGCAGUAGUUGGUAAUCCGUUGCUAUCCCGACUCAUCUCUUGGAUAUGUGUCCAAUUUUCAUCUGGUGCUGAGAUUUCUUAGUAAGAUUUGCUAUGAUUUCAUUUGAUGGAGGAAAAAGACAAAAAAAAAAAAACUCUUUCCAUGACCAUACAUGAGUAAUUGCUAAUGCUGUCAUUACCGUUCACCAGUGACAACUUUUUCAAAGAAAAAGUCUAGUAAGAUUAGUACUCUGACCUUUAAAUGUCGGUGGGCUGUACAGUAGCAUGCACAUUUUAGGAUAAUUAUAAUUCGUUGGGAUAUACUACACUCUUAGAAACCCAGGCCCAGCUGGCUGCCCCAUGCAACAACUCGGCCCCAGAGCCCAGCCUUUGAGGACAGUGGUCCGAAAUCCACAAUUUCGAAUCUCCAUAAAAUAUUGUGAGAUUUAUUUAUUUUUUAAAUAUAAAAAAUAAUUAAAUAAAGACAAAUUUUUUUUUUAAACGUGAGUGAAAUAGAUAUUUAUCAUAGGGAUGGUAAAAAGAGGACUUGAAUCGGGUUUUUUCAAGUCCAAGCCUACUUUAAGAUAGGGAUGGCAAUGGGGCAGAUAUGGGUUGGAUCUACUCUGCUCCAGAUCCAAAUACAUAAUGAAAAUCAAGAUCCGUAUCUGCUCCAGAUCCGUUAUGAAUCCAUAUUUUUCGCUCCAUAUCCAAAUCCAAAAAAGAAAUAAAUAUCUAUAUCUGCUCCAAAUCCGAAAAAAAAUUAUACUUUUACACCAAAACAACAAAUAAGAAAGAUAAUAAAAUAUCAUUCAGAAGUAAUUGCAGGAGUAAGAUCAAUAUAAUAUUAUAUUGUCUCUUUUAUCAUUCUAAUAUCCACGAUACACCUACCCUCAUUCCUCCAAGGCGGAUGUACGGUACAGCAGCUAAAAUCUCAUAAUUUUAAAAUUUGAAUUUCAUAGUAAUAGAAAUACAUGUCCUACCGAAACAAUGGUAAAUACUACUAAUAUGCUAUGAAUAAAAUUUAUUAUCAUUAUCAUUCCACAAUUAUUAAGAAACUUUUAAAAUAAAAUAAAAUUAAAAGAUGAGUGGAUAUGGAUAUGAAUUUAGAUAUUAAGAUAGAUCCAGAUCUGCUCCAGAUCCGUCUUAGAUCCGCACAUCGAUAUCCAAAUCCGAUCCAAAUCCAUUUUAAACCGAUCCAAAUUAGGGAUGGCAAUGAGGCAAAUAUGGGUUGGAUCUACUCUGCUCCAGAUCCAAAUCCAUAAUAAAAAUUAAGAUUCGUAUCUGCUCCAAAUCCGUCAUGAAUCCAUAUUUUUCGCUCCAUAUCUAGAUCCAAAAAAGAAAUAAAUAUCUAUAUCUGCUCCAAAUCCCAAAAAAAAAUUAAAAUCCAAAUCUGCUAUAGAUCCAUCAUGAAUUCUAAAAUUCAGUAAUAAAAAAGUAAUAAUUUUUUAGAUUGAAAAUUGAAUGCUAAAAUGUAUUGAUAGCAAAUAAAUUAUAUAUUUUUUUUCUCAAAAAUAUAAUAAAUAUUGUAUCUUAUACUUUUACACCAACACAACAAAUAAGAAAGAUAAUAAAAUAUUAUUAAGAAGUAAUUGCAAGAAUAAGAUCAAUCUAAUAUUUUAUUGUCUCAUUCAUCAUUAUAAUAUCCACGAAACACCUACCAUCAUCCUUACAACAUUAGAUAAUAACAUAUAAAUUAAAUAUGAUUUAUAUUCAGUCCUUUAUUAUUUUUAUUAUGACCAUAUUUGACUAAAUAUAUGAAUAACUAUAUUCCUUAAAAAUUAUUUGGCCAAUAUAAUAAAAUAAAUUGCCAGGUUAUAUUACUUGGCUUGCAAUUUGAAUAUUGUAUGUACAUGCUUUGGGGUUGGCUGACCUUUAAAUUUACAAAACUAACCUUUAAAUUUUAAGAGUUUAAAUGCAUGGUAAAUACUACUAAUAUGCUAUGAAUAAAAUUUAUUAUCAUUAUAAUUCCACAAUUGUUAAGAAAAUUUUAAAAUAAAAUAAAAUUAAAAUAUGAGUGGAUAUUGAUAUGGAUUUAGAUAUUAAGAUGGAUCUAGAUCUGCUCAAGAUCCGUCUUAGAUCCGCACAUCGAUAUCCAAAUCCGAUCCAAAUCCAUUUUAAACCGAUCCAAAUCUAAUCCAAUUGGAUUUGGAUCACGUGGAUCUUGGAUCAGAUACAAUCCAUUGCCAUCCCUAAUCCAAAUCCGAUCCGAUUGGAUUUGCAUCACGUGGAUCUUGGAUCAAAUCCAAUCUAUUGCCAUCCCUACUUUAAGAUAAGCAUGAAGGUCGGGCCUGGCUAGGCCCAUUGCGGGCUUGCCCGGACUUGGACUUUAUUUACUUUUUUAAAUUAUUAUAAAUUUGAAAUAAAUUAAUGAUCAACAAGUUGUUAUAAUCAUAAAUAAAUUUAAAAAAUAAGUAUUUCAAAAUAAAAUAAUAAAUAAAGCAAAUAAAAGCUUAGAAAUUUAAUUUUUUUUAAUACUGGAUUCUCUAAUUCAAACACUCUCUUCAUUAAUUAACGCACAAGAAAGAGUUUAGUAUCAUAAUUUUAACUUUUUUGAAUAAUCAUUGAUUUAUAAAUUUAGAAUUUAAGUUUUUUUUUAAGUUACUUUUCAAUUUUAAUUAUAUUAUUCUAAUUUAUAAAUUUAUUUUUUUAAAAUAAUGUGUCUGUCCUAACGCGGACUUUUUUUCUUGAGCCGUUUGUCCAUGCUCUCAUGUGGUGUUUGUAUAAAUUUUGUGAUUACACCUUUUAGUUUUGAACUCUAGUCAUAGUGUCAUCAUGUUGUGAAUUGUUUAACUUGUUAACUACCAUUUUAAUUCCUAGAAAGUGGUUAAAUCUUCACUUGCUUUCAUUGUUAUUAUCCAGCAUGUGCUGAUAAAAUUAGCUUUGGGCCAACUGAAAUUUGUUAUUAGUCGAUACCGCACUUAAGACUUCCCCAAGCUCAAUAGUGUGACAGGAUAAUGUGUGUCAUCAAUGAAACUAGCGAUUCCAGGCAAUGAAAAUGAAGCUGAUGACAGUUGUGCAUGGUUGGAAGAGGCAAAAGAGUUCGCCUGCUACUUUUAGCAAGAAAGCGCUGGUGUCUUCUCCUUUAAGAAGAAAUGAAGGCAUUAAGAUCGGUGAUGAUGUCACCCGGCAUUGAGUUGCUCUCACGACGUUGGCCUUAUCUUUCGAAUUUGAUAUUCUUAGUUGAAAAGAUAAUUAAUCUUUACUUUCUGAAAAUACAAGUUGUAAAUUAUUGGAAAAGCCUUGAGAGAAGGUCAAACUGUGGAAGAAAUGCACCCUCAACCUUUGCUGAAUGGGAAAUUGCAGCCUGAUGCUCAGGCUAGUUGUAUACCGUGUUUAUGAUGAAUAGAGAAUGUUUUGUUUGCACAGAUGCACUGAUGAGCUAGACAAAAAGUAAGAUUAAUCUCUUUAUUAAUGUGACCUUUCCUGAGUCCCCUUGUUGGUCUCGUAUGUGUAGAAUUGCUGGUUAGUUUAUGGAACCUAAGGCCAUAUUACCAUGCCUUUCACCAGUCAUACACUUCAUGCUCGCAGUGGUUCGUCAGCAGAAAUAGCUUAUUAAGGGCUUGAUUAUGUAAUUUGGACAGUCUAGGUUGUCGACAAGAAAAUAUCCGCAAGAUUUUGGCAGUGAUAUUGUUAUAUGCUUUCGUGUGUGGCAAGAAGUCGAAGAACCAAAAUUAUACAGGCUGUCUAUAAACAAGUGAAACGCCAUUGACCAUUUUUUUUUUUUUGGGAUAAAUCAUGAUCAUCCUCGUGUUAUUAAUUAGGUUUCGACAUUCAAGUUAUGGGAGUUUUUGAAAUUGCACUGUCUUAAGCAUACGCAUGCAGCCUUGUUGAUCCAGGUGACAUCUCAUCACAAGUCUUUAUGAAUGGAUGGAUGAAUGCUCAGAAGAAUGUGAAGAGCCCAACCAACUUGCCAAUAUCUAAGGCAACGCAAACCACUACCUAAUUCAUGGCCUGUGUGUGCCUUGGAUAUUGGCACUCAUUUGUAAACCCCUUUCUUUGUAUAUUUACGUUUAAAUCUUUCCACAUCCCAUGUGAUUGUAAAUUUUAUCCUGACAGUUCAUCUCUUAAUUUGUUCUUUCUUUCUAUAACCCCACUUCAACACUUUAGGUAUUGGUUCAAAUAAGAUUUCCAACAGUUACCUCUAAAAACUGAAAAUUUGAUUGCUAUUAGUUGCAAUUUUGAAACCUAAAUUCACUGUCAUAGUGUCAUGGUGGACAAAAUUAUAUACGUAGAAUAUUUGUGAAUGAUUUUCUUUUAUCUUCGCCCUUACCAUGGAUCAUGAAUCCCUUCAUGUUUACUGAUGAUGGGGGAAAAAAAAGGGGUAAAUUAAAAGUGAUAAAAGGGGGCUUUUGUUUGUUUAAGAAAUAUGCUAACUUUCUGUUUAUUGACUGUAAUUAUCGCUACAUAUGGGCUUCUUCUUCUCUAUUAUUAAGGUGGCCAUUUGUCUAGAGGGCUAGCGAUGGAUUUUGUGCGCGAGAGUGGUAGUGAUAAAAAGUUUAUGGGUUUCAAAAGUGUAGGAGAGGGGCGCCAAUAGUAGCACUCUUGGAUUAAACUCGAUAAGAGCUGGGCCGGAAGGGGACAUUGAAGAGAGAAACUGGCCCAACUAAAACAGGGCGAAAUGUGAAAAAGGCCAACGGACUAAAAUUUGUCGUCAUCUUUAAUAUGGUAUCCAUGGCAUGUGCAAUGCACAUGAAGUAGAAGGAAUACAGAAGAAUAAGCCGAAAAGGUAAUUGAAUUGAAUAUCAGUUUUAUCUGGUGAUGGAGAAGCAGUAGUAAGAUACGUGCUAAUCAAUUAAAAGGGAAACACAACACGCAAAGGGUAUUGAAUAGGCAAUUGGAAGUACAAGGGACAAGGCAUGUAAACUUAUUAUUCAAUUUCAACCCCAAGAGCUUAAAGUGACCAUUCAUCAAGUGGCAGUGGGGGACCUGACCCCCAUGCGUAAUUUGUUUGGUAUCCCAUUUAUGAGAAGCCCCCGCAAGCCUACUUAGAUAUAUGUGUGUAUUAUUUUAUAUGCUCAUAUAAGUAAAUGGACAACAAUUUUGAAAAAUCAACAUGCAUGUCUUUGUCAUAUUUGAGAUACUGCUGCCAAACCCACAAUCUAAUUUAGCUGUAAUCGUCAAAAGUGCCGAACACUACUCUCGUCUCGCUCUCUUUCUCUAUGGUCCAUCCACAACACUGCCUUCCUUUGCCCUGUCAUUGUUAAUUUGUUGAUGUAUUGUUGGCUUUAUCAACGACGACACAGACAGUGAUAACAAUAACAACAACAAUAAUAAUAAUUAAUAAAUCAAGUAACAUAUUAAGUAUGAAACGAAUAGAAGUGUCAGCUUUUUCACUCGUCUCUUUCCAUCUUCUGCUGCUGCUGCUGCUGCUGCUUUAGGCCAGCAACACAAUUAAUGACGAAACCUAAAAGGUUAAAGGGCUUCCCAUUGGAAUAAUGAAUGAAUAAAUAAAUAAAUGAAAUUGGAAUUUCGGUGAAUGAGUAGAGAAUGAGCAGAAAUGAGCAGAAUGUGCGCGGGUGGCGCAGGGCAGCUUCGUGAUAUGGGGGAAAACAUGGAAUGUUGAUCAAUAAAUUUGGGUAACAGAGACAGAGAGCAUGCCACUUGCCUUAAUUUCCCUACUCGUACGUUUUCCUUUUUUUCUUUCAACUCUUGAUUAGCUUUCACCAUCGAAAAAGUUCUACUAUAUACAAUACAUAUCAGCAGCUAAAAAAGCAACAUGUGAUGCGCGCGCGCAUACCUAAUAUUUUUAUUUUAUUAAAAUAAAGAUAUUAUUAAAAUAUAAAAAUAUAUUUAAAGACAUUCAAAAUUGUAUUUUUCAUUUAUUAGUAUAUUAAGAUUUAUAUUUUUUAAUCUAUUAGUAAUAUCUUCAUUUUGUAAAAAUAAAAGACGUCUUUAUUAAGAAAUUAUUACUAUCAUAUAUGUAUAUGUUUAUAGGUAUGUAAGUUUUUAUGUGGAUAUGGACCAAAAAGCAAAAGCAAGGUGGGAGGGGCAUCAGCAUCAAUAUUAAUUAAAAUUCACGGGAAUGUACUAGCAGCAGCCAGUGUAAUUCAAAAUCGCUUUUGCUAUUGCUGCGUCAAUAAUAAGAGAGCGGAGAGCUAGCUACCGAAGAAAGAAGGAACAAACAAAAUAACCAAAUAAAACGUACGUGGUCCAUGCAAUUUCUUCUAGGAAGGAGUGGAGAAUGGAGUCGUGGUGGAGUGGGAUUCAAUUGCAUUUGCACGCGUCUUCUGCUGCUGCUCUAUUCACACACACUUGCGACAAAUUAAGCUUUACCACCUUUUUCUUUUCUUUUCAAUAGACAUAUUCAUUUUCAAAUAAUAUAUAUACAUAUAUUUUAUUGUCGUCAUUCAUUACGCCUACAUAUAAACCCUAAACCUGGCUAGCUAGAGUGGGGACGACUCUUCUCUCUCUCGCUCUCUGUGUGCGUGCGUGUUGAGGGUUUUUCCGCCUUCCUGUUCAUUAAAAUAUCCUAAAUAUUUAUUGACUAGUCGCAAGGCAGCUGCCUUUGCGUUGCCAUAAAAUUAAAGGAUAUAGCUAGCCUCUGGCACAUGAAUGUGAUAUACUGCCGCAUAAUACUCCGGUGUGCUUUGAGGAAAAACAGUUGAAAGAAAGACGAAGAGAUUAAUUAGAGAUCGUGAGCAGAUUCUAAAUGAGAAAGCCAAAGUUAAGGUGAUAGCUGCAAGCACAUACGUAAUUAAGCAAAUACAAAAUUAAUUAAUAAUUACUGAUCCAUAAAAAUAUAAUUCAACAGCUCGCUCUUUUUCUAGCUAGCAGCUGCCCAACGCAAAGUACAAAUAAAGUAGAUUGAUGCAGCUAGCGACUAGAUGCAUGCAUAGAGUCGCGUAAUAGUAUCUAUAGUUCUAUACCGCUAUGUGUGUGUAUGUAUGUGUAUAUAUAUAUAUAUAUAUAUAAAGUCUUUUCGCAGAGAAUAGGUGGGCCACAUACUUAGUGAUAAUGAUCGAUGGUCCUGAAUGCAUGCAUUUAGAUGCACAGUCAUGAUCUAUACACAUGUAUGUAUGUUUGUGUGAAUGGUGGUGAUAAUGAUUUAUGAACCCGACCUCACUCUACUAUACCAGCUAGAUAGACUGAUAAGUACCUAUAUAUAUCUUUAUCUAUUUCAAUUUAAAUUAAUUUUGAGAGAAACUAGACGGCGUAAACAAACACAGUGGGUUGUCCUUGAAAAGCUUGACAGCAGCCUAACAACAAUUUAAUUUGCUUACUCUGGUAAAAUCCUCACUGCCCUACUCUCCCUCUUUGACAAUUUUACUCUCUUUUUUAAUAUUAUUAUUCUUCUGUACUAAUUACCAUGCGUAUAUUUAAUAUUCUGUGCCAACCACCAUUAUACCUUUGUAAUUUUGUGGCUCACAAGUGGUCUAAAUUCACAUUUUACACAAACUAAAUUGUUGUAUUUGGUCUAAAAGAAGCUCCUGCGGAGCUCACGUAGGACUUUUUUUUUUUUUUAAUCUUGUGAUGCUUAUUUGUCUCUUUAAUGAAUAGUUAUUUUCAUUCUUUGAAUGGCUCAUAGUACGUAGAAACCUUCUGCUGUACCGUACAUNNNNNNNNNNGCAGCCUUUUUUCACAAAGAAAAGACCCAUAAGAUAAUAUUAUGUUUUUGGUUCUAAGUUUUUCAAUCCGGGUUUAGAAUUCGUGAUUAAAGUCCGAAAUAGAUUUAUGAUGCCCUGAAGUAACUUUUACGACAUUAUAAAUUGAGUUGCGACACUAUAAAUUUGUUCCAAAUUUUAAUCUUAGAUUCUAAGCACGAAUAUAAUAAGCGCUUAUGUAUAUAGCAUAAGAUACAAUAAAUCAAAGAAGAAAGUCUACAUAGGACGUUAAUAAUUAUGUGGGACAGUCAAAAAAAAAAAAAAAACUCUGUGUUUUGGGUUUUGCUCUCCUGAUUAUCGAUCAACCGCACUUAGAAGUGUCUAUUCAAAGUUUAUUGAAUGGGCUUAUGGAUGACGUGGUAUAUAUUUCUUAAAAUUAAGAUUUUUUAAAAUUAACCAAGAAGAAUUAAUUGUGCUUAUUCACCUUUUUUUUCAUAUGUAUAUUCAAUUUAUUGAUAUUUCCACCCAUUAUCUAUUAUGAUCACCUUUAAAACAAUUUUAUUAUGACGAAGUUUAAAUUUUUGCCCUCACAUAUAUCAUAAGGAUAUCUACUCCACUCUAUGAGUAAAGAAAGAUAUCUAUUUUUAUCUAUUUUUUUUAAUUAGAAUUGAGUCGAUACUCUCACCAAAGUGAUCAGGACAUAUUUUUAGGUAUUUAAGAGGAUCUCUAUGUCGGGUGCCGCAAUUCAAACUUAAUGAGAUUAUUUUGUCAUGACUUGUUUAGCUUUAGUGCUUUCAUAGCAUAUCUUCUCAAUGUAGAAAAAAAAUUGUUCUAUAGUGAGCUUUUUUCAAGUCACUUAAUAACUGUUAGACUCUCACCUUAUAUGUAAAUAACUGUUAUUGGAGAUUAAUUUUAUAUAUAUAUAUAUAUUUGGAAAUGGAGAUUAAUUAACUGUUGCGGUUUAAAGCUUACCUUCUUUUGUUUUGUUGUAUAUUUUUUUACUCCAUUUUAAGCAUGCUUUGGGUGAAAUGUACAUUUAAUGCCCGGUGAUCGGAACUGUAUUGAGAUUGAUAAUUACCUUUGCAAUUUGCACUAGACCUCCAUUCUAGAGCAAAUACAUGAUGAAAUUGAAGACAAACAUUCUUCUGUCAGAACUGAGAAGAAUCACAAGAAAUUUAAGAAUGGGCAAGAAUUUAAAAUAAAUAAAUAAAUGCAAAUUGCCAUCUAUACUUGAGCAAAGAUUAGGCAAAUUAAUCUCUUUUUGUGGAAGGAUUGCGUAUCCCGAACUCUGUCGUGAUUCUUUUCCUUUUGGUCCUCCAUUUUUGUGAUUAUUUUCAAAUCUUUUCUGGAAUAUAUGACACAGAACAAACUCCUAUAGACAAAAGUUUCAUGUAAUCAAAAAGCCACAACUUCCAAAUACACCACAUAAGGUUAGGGGGUUUAAGAACAUUUCCCACAAUGUUAUAUGUGCAUACUAGUUUAUUUUUUAUAAAAACCCCCCCCCCCCCCCCCUACAUCGAUAUCCAUGGCGAGCUAACUAUCUUUAAGAGCGGCCGGUUUUGGCAAGAGAUUCAUCAAUUAAUUACAGCAAAUUAAUCCUCAGGUUACAAUAAAAAAAAUUUAUAUGAUGGUGAUCAUGCGGUAUGCACGAAAGAACUUAAUCUAGCCAUUAUCAUAUAAUUUCUUGAGAAAUACCGUUGCUUUUUAUAAGAAGGCUGAUGAAUGAUGGAUAUUCUAAAUAUGAAUCUUACCAAUUAAGGUCCUAUUUGAUAUUGAGGUGUUGUACCUUUUAACUUAUAGUUGCUGUGGAAAAAAAAAACUAUAACUAUUAAACAAAAAUUAAUAGUAUGUAAUAAAUAUAAAUUUUGAAUUAUAAUUUUGACAAAAUUAUUAAAGAUAUUAUAGAUUUUCCACCGUACAACUGAAAAAUCAUAUUAACAUACCUUCCAAGAUAUAGCAACUAUUGUUUAUCAAAUAUUUUAGUACUGUAACUUUUAAGCUACAACCACACAAUCUCAAUCCCAAACGGACCCUAAUUAACAUAAACAAAUGCAAAUAGCUAAUGAAAUUCAAUUUAAAAUAAACCAAAUAAUUCCUUCUUAGAUAACGACCCAUUUAUAUUAAGUUAAAUAUGUAUCCUCUCUGAAUAUAUAUAGGCAGUGUUUCGAGCUAGUUAACUACAAUGAUCAGUUAGGACAUGAAAACCCAGUUAACUAACUCUAAAAAAAUAUAAAUAUGUAGAUUGCAUAAAAAUAUCUAAAAUUUAAACCUUGCGAUCUUUCUUUCUUAUGGCUAGUGUGCACACUGUGAGAAAUGUCUUUAUUGAUCAAUAACAUGCUUGCUUUUUUUGAACCCGUAUAUGGUCGGAAAUUAUGAGAAAGAUCAUGACAACUUAAAAAGUGUUGAAUGUGAAUGCCUUCAUGUCUCGCUUUUUAGUUCCUAGUCACCCUCCAAUAUCACCCAAUUCCAUACAUGAAUCGAAACAUUAAUGUAAUGGAUGUUAGAUGAUGAAGUAACUUAAUUUAAUUAACAGACACUACGGAGCCUAUGCUGAAUGCAUCUAAAUUGGAAGUCAAAGGUUUAGGGUAAAUUAUCAAAGAGAAAAAAAGAAAAGUUCAUCAGGUAAUGGUUCAGUCAGUUUUCUUUGGGGCAGCUUUCUAAUGCAUUUCUGCAAAUUAUUUUGAUGCCUCAGAUAAUUUCUUCAGGGCAUGCAUUUGACCAGAAAACAAGGAGAAUUUGGAUGAAACAGGAGAAAAAAAAAGGUGAAAAUUAAAAUAACUUUGUGUACAGAAAUGAAGGCACUCACUAUAUAUAAUACCUUCAAGCAAAGCAAGGCAUGAUUUCAACAUGUAUAUUUCUACCAAAAGGGAUGUGAUGAGAAACAGAUGUACUUAUACUCCUCUUUAAUUAAUAUGAAUGAAAUUACAUUUAGUUAUAAGAUUCUAUGCCACUUUAAGGAUUGCAAGAAAACUAAACCAUCUAGUUCGCAAGACAUUAUAAACCAAUAAACAUUAGAAAGAAAAAAAUCACCUUACAAUAGCAUGCUACAAGGAAAACAAUUUUUCGGGGAAAAAAUGGUAACGUUAAUAGUUGGCUAAAAUAAUAUUCUCUUGAUGAAUUCAGGAGGGAUAGACAUGCAUUCAAGGGGGAAGGGAUGCAUCCAAUCCAAAAUAGUAGUAGUAACUCUAUAUUUGUCAAUUUAUACGCCUCAAUGAGGUUACUAGUUGGACUUUAUUUGCAAAGAGUUUUAUAAAGGACUUAAAUAGUUGGCUAAAAUAAUUGAGGUAGAAACUAAAUUCGAUCAUGAACAACUAGUGCUCACUUUUUUAGAAACAAAAGGAAUAGGGUGGAAAUACAGUAGCUAGCAACAGCAUUGUUAUUGAUCAAUUAAUUAUAUAUUAGGGCUGAGAAAACUAAAGAGAAACAAGGGGAACAUUCUAUGUAAUAGCAGUAGCUAUAUAGCAAUUGCUUUCCUAUGAAUUAAACUGUGCAGUGCACUGCGUGCAAUGAAUUGAAUGGAGAAACCGGAGGCUGCUGAUUAAUAAUUAAUAAUCAGAAUUAAUGCACAUGUGUAUAACAUAUAUACAUAUAGAGAGAGAGAGCGAGAGAGAGAGAGAGAUUGAUGCUAAACAAGGGAAGCAAAAAGAGUUCAAAGAAAUCAAGAUAAAUGUUACCUUUUAGAAGUCUGAAAAAUUGUCUGCAAAAACCUGGGAGUGUGCCCAAGGAAGCAGCGACAAGAACAACAACCUACCAAAAUAAAGACAAAAGAGAGCUAAAAACUUCAAUAAUAUCUCACGUACCUAGCAUACUGUACAAAGUUAAUUACUGAGGCAGGAAAGCUUGUUAUUACUGGGCUGGCAAGUGUAACAGGAAGAAAGAGCCAAAAACAGCAGAGAAUAAUUAAAUUAAAACUCAUUCAUUCACUGAGAAAAACCAUGGAGAAGCCACCACAGAUUAUUGGAGAAGCCACUACACUACCAGCCCUUUAAAAGGCAAACAUUCUAUAUAUUUAUAUAUAUAUACACAUAUAUGCAUGCCAUUAUAUUCUAUUUCUCAUAAACAAAUUAAUAUUGUUUACUUUCUAACCUCUAUACACUAUAUAGAAUCAAAUGAUCACAAAAGUAAGUUAACUAAAGGAUAUACAUAUAUAGAAGACAUAAGUGCUGCCUGAUAGUCAGUCUAGCAUGCACAUAAUCUUUAUUUGAGAUAAAAUAUUCAGAAACACCAACACUUGAACCUGCUGCAGCUGCAUGCAUUAUAUUCCCCCUUGGGGAUGGAUCUCUGAUACCCAAUUUGAUCACCAAUAUUUUUCUUUAUUAUUAUUAAGUAUAGAUGGAGAUGAAGACAGCACCAUUAAUAUUGUGAAGACUGUAUCAAUGUAAAACCAUAUAUAAUCUAAUUGCGUAAAUAUAUAUUAAGAAAAAGAAAUUAAGAUGAAAAAAAGAGAGGUGAUGAUUAGCCAAGCUAGCUGUCUUGAGCCUUGACAGAUGAUUUCUUCUUCUCCGGCAGCUAGCAGCUAGCAGCUAGCAGCUAGCUAUAUACCGGAUCAAUCAAAGGACAUGGAAGCCUUGCCUUUGUUGAGGAAGUCGAAAGGAGGAAGCAGUGGAGUAGCAUCGUAGAGACUUAAUUGUGAUGAUGAAGAAAGUUGAGAGGGCUGAUCAUGAAUUGCCAUUGUAGCAUGUUGGAUACUUGUUGACGAGGACAAUAUGUGACAUUCAUCAUCCGACUCCGUUAUGGGGCAGUCCAUGUUCACACCAAAUAGUCUCAAUCUCUUUGCCGUCGCCUUUCCUUGGACCACCGGCACCGAAUCAAACACGAUUGGAUGCUGCUGCCACUUCGUCAUUCCUAUCUCCGUAUGUGGUGGUGGUGGUGGUGGUGGUGGUUGUUGUGUGGCCGGCGCUGCUGGUAAUUGUGAUCUCAAGUACAAAAUAGACCCCAGUGUACGAGGGCUUAGCACAUUAUUAUCAUUACCAGUACCACCAAGGCUGAUGCUGUUACGGUUAUAAAAGUUAUUGUUGAUUUGUGAUUGUGAGUACAUGGACGCCGGCAGUACUGGUGGCCUCAUCAUCAGCAAAGGAUUCCAAGGAAUGGACCGGUAAAAUGGCAGGUGGCGAGAAAACGAAGCAGCAGCAGCAGCAGGAGGAUGGGAUCUUCUCCUCCAGUCAAUGAAAAGACGACCUUUAGCCAAAUCACCAACACCCCUAUGAAAGGAAACAACGUCACCGGCAUCAAGUUUCUUGUCCUUGACAAAGCGGCUCCAGCCUUUGGUCAUGACGUAGCUUUGGCUGCUGUUCCAGUAAGAGUAGCGGAACCUCCAUGGCUUUCCAUUUCGAUCCUCGAAAUUCAAGAGAAGGCCUUUCUCGUUCGAGGAAGAGUCUAAUGGGAAGUACUUUUCUGCGUGUUGCUUUGGAAUGACUAAACGAUUCAGCUUACCCACAUCGCUUGGUGUUACAACUUUGUCAAACAUGUGUUCCUUCUCCAAGCUAAUAAGAACACGAUCUUCUUCUGCUUCUCCUUCUCCAAUAAUAUCCUUCGUCUCCUGCAUGAUGAUGGCCUGCUCUUCUGUUGGUGCUGCAGCUUCUUCUUCGUUUGAGACAUCUUCUAAUUCGGCGGCUGUCGUUGUUGUGGUUGUUUUGCCUAAUAGCCAAGAACCCAUUUGUGGUUGUUGUUGUUUGUUGUAAUUUUGAUGAUGAGUGGUAAGAGGAAGCAGCUGCUGGGUCUGGGUUGUGUAGUGGUGGUGGUGAGAAGAUGCAGAUGAUGGAGAGGAGGAAGAAUUAGACGCGUAUGUAGUACUGAAAUGAAGCUUCACGGCUUGGUUGCUACCAGUGUUGCUAAUAAUAUUACCCAUCUCAUAAUCAAUUCCAAUCAUCUCAUCUUCUUCAGAAAUUAACCUUUCUCUGUUUGAGUAUGAGUUUGACGACGACCCAAACUCCAUCGAUUGUUAAUUAAUUAAAAUCAAAAUGCAUCUAGAUCACUACCCAUACAACAAAUCAAGAUGGAUGACACGAAGAUCAUCAACCCCCUACCCCACAACUAAUAUACUAAUAACAUGCUUCUUCAAUUCCUUACAAACAAGGCAGCAGAUAUCAAAUUAAAGAAACAAAUUUGUGAAACAAGCGGCAGCGACCAGUGCUGCUACUUGUAUGACUUUUCUUUAUAGCAAACUAUAUAUUCUGUGUGUCCAUAGAGAGGGUGGGUUGAAGGUUUUUAAUUAUUAAGAAGACUCAGACGCAUGAGAUGGGCCUCCAUGGACAUUUCAAACUAACAGUACUACUGCAACUUCCUCUUCUUGUUGUUGACCUUGACAACCAAAAAAAUUACAAAAAGUGAGAAUGGAGAAAUUAUAUAUACACAUACAUACACACACACACACACACACACACACACAUGUAAAAGCAAGCAAAGCAAAGCAAAACCUGAUUUUUUCUUAAUUUCUUACAGGGCGAUGGUGCCUAGCUCCCUGAAGGUUCACUAGUUAGGCCCAGUUGAAUUAUUAUUAUUAUUUUUUUUUUCUUUUGUAAACAAUUAAUUGUACUAAAUUAAUACUAACAGAGAAAGAGAGAGAGAGAGCUAAGAGAUAUGAAUGAAGAUCGUAACUGGGAGGGUACUGAGUGAGUUUAUACAUACGUAGGGGUAGGGACCCCCAAGUAUUAUCUGCUUGGGCUCAUGUGAGCUUGUCAUUGUCUUCAUCCUGGGUACUGUUUCACACAUUUUAUUUAUUUCUUUAUUUCUCUUCUCUGAUAAGGCCCCUCUAAGUCUAAGGCCUAAGCCAGCUGUUUUCUCCACCGAGAGCUUCAUUCUCCACUUUUCUUUUUUUAUUUAAUUCUAUUUUCUUUUCUUUUUCAAUUAAUAUUGCUCCUCUCCCUAAUAAUAAUAAUAAUAAUAAUCAUCAUCACUAUAAAAACAGUUUUCAAUUUAUUUUCAGAAAACAAAAUUUAAAAUAUAUAUAUAUAGAAAGUGAAGAAUCAAUCUAACUCAGGUUAGGGUUUUGACUCGUUCUCAUUAAAUUCGUACGGACCACUCUCUACUGCGGUGGUGGUGGGCGCACAACUAGAUGGUAAUUAAUUGAUUGAUGAAUAAUAAAAUAAUUAACUUUAGAGUUAUUAGAUAGAUAAAAUGUCUCGCUUAAUUAAGUUCAUUCAAUUUAAUUCAUCAAUAAAAAGGUCUCGAUGUCUUCCCACAUGUCAUAUAACAACAACAUUAUAUAGAUCGUUAAAUAUAAGGUCCAAUAUCAAUUUAAUUAAUCUCAUCUUAGUUAUGUAAUAACCAUCACCUAUCACUUUGUUAUUGAUAAUUCACUCAAUUAUUUGUUUUUAAUUUUAGUACCACCGUGAGCUGCGUGACUAUGUCCCUAUUUAUCUCUUUAUAUAUGUGUGUGAGUGUAUUAUAUUAGAUCAAAUGGGAUUUUCAAAGAAAUAUAAAAUAAUAACACUAAUCACAAGUUGUCAUUAGUUGACUGUUAAUUAACUUUUUUCUGCUGAUUAGUCUUUUUUAAUAUACGCACACAUCCACACACACACACACAUAUUUUUUAGGAUCAAGACUAACAAAAAAAGAAAAAGAAAACCCCACAAAUUUGCGGACAUUAAAAUAUAAAAAAAAUAAUACAUUAAAAUCUUUAUUUUUAUUUUUUUGUCUUUUAAUUUCAUCUGUACAAAAUUAAUGUUUUAAUAUCUGCACUUAAGAAUUUCUAUACAUAAAACCAAAAAAAAAAAAAAAAGGGCUGCAGAGUGAUUUAUUUGAAUGUUAACUGAGAAAUGGCAUGUACAUAUGAUUCCAAGCAUCCAAUCAUUUCAAAGUCAAAACGUGUAGAGGAAAACCCAUCCUCCAGAUUUGCUGCCUAAAUCCUAUCCAGCUAUUUGCAAAUGCCCUGUAUUAGUUAUUAUUAUUUAUAUGGUGAUUAAAAAAGGGACCCAUUCAUACAUAUAAUAAUAAUCACAUGAUUAAUUCAAAACAGUGACAUUUCAUUCUGAUUAAUUAGUGGAGGAGGGAGAAAGCAAUUGCAUUGGACAUUAAUUUUGAAUCUUGUAAAUGCUAUGCUAGCUUUACCUGUCUUGAUGUUCGUGAGAGCAUACCCUUUGAAUUGGUUCAAUUUAAGAUUGUUGUUAACAUAUAAAAAUGUCCAAAAUGGUGGGAUUCGGGAGACAGACAUGACAAUUAUUAUUUUACAAUUAUUACCGGGCAAAUUUGCUUUCAAGUCAUUAACAUUAAGCCAGCUUUCGUCAUCUGACCUGGAUAGGAUGACGUUUGCAUUUAUUGAACUAAUCAACAAAGGGAAUCACGCAAUUACAACAUUAAUUACCGUUGAUUAUUAUUAAUUCAUUAUUAUGUUUUUCUGAUUCUUUUCUUCUUUUUCUUUUUCUGACUUGCCAAACAACCCAACUUGCAAACCCACGUAUUCCUCCUAUCCAAUCAAUGAGAAAAGCCCACUUGUUCCAGCCCACGGAUAAUAUUUCCAUUAAACCAACAAUUACAAGUUUACAUCCCGCAAGUGGUGAAGUUUAUAAUUAAUUAAGGGAAUAAUUAAUAGUUACGUUUAUGGUUUUUUAAAAAGAAUUAGGAUUCUCUUCUUAUCUGAUCUUCAUCUGAGCAAAUUUUAUUGAUAUAAUUGGUGGUUAAUAAAUUAAAAAAUAAUAAUAAUUAAAUCUUAAUCAUCCACUAACACUAAAAUACAUGUAGUACAAUAUCUGUAAAAAAUCAAGAAUACUCAGAUCAGGAGAGGUGAAUUAAUCCUAAAUUAUCCGCAUUUGGUCCUUGCCUAGUUAGAACAAAUAAUGUUGACUGGGAUCUUUUGUGUAUAUAUACCAUUAAUCAUGUUGCAUUGGGGAUUUCUUAAAUUAAUAUUUUUUUCUGAAAAAAAAAAAGAACCCAGUAGUAUACUUGACCAGACCGACAUGACCCAAGAGCUCCAUUAAUUAAUCUCGUGUCUCAACUUGCAAAAAGAAAAAGUUCUCCAAUGACAUCCGCAAGUAGAAUUAAUUAAUUAAUAAUAAUUAUAAUUAUUAUUAUUAUUAUCAUGAAGAUAGCCACCAUUUCUUUUUAAUGUUUCGCUUUUCUACCAUGCAUGCAAUAACUGAUACGAAUCGUUUGUAAAAUACUCAAUUGAGUGAAAAUUUAAUAAUUUAAAAUGGCAUAUCUAUCUAUCAAUCACCCUCUCACAAGUUGUGGAGGAAGUGGGGGAAUAUUAGUGGGGGAGCCCAGCAAUAAUUUGUAUUAUUAUUAUUAUUAUUAUUAUUAUUAUUAUUAUUAUCAUCAUUAUCAUUAUUGUUUAUUAAAAAAUGGGGGCAGGUGAAGACAGGCAUAGCAUCGGCAGCGUUUCCGAUUCUGAAUCCGAAGAUUGGACAAUAAUUAUUACUUCUACCUGGCAUGUAGCCAAAUACAUAAUAAUAAUAAUAAUAAUAAUAAAAAGAAGUGACUCUACCGCCAAAUCUAGCUCGGACUUUGUUGGAAUUUAAAUUUCGAUGGAAAUUAAAUUCUAACUAAAGAGAGUUUACUAACCAAUGGAAAGAGCAAGGGAAAUCAAAUUCCUUUUACAGUUCAUGCCAACCGAACAUGGCCUAAAGUCUAAGAGAGAGAGAAAUUAUCAAUGAUCUUGAUAAGUAUGCAGCACUAAUUCUAAUGAAUGGUUUCCACUUUCCAAAACCUAAACUUAGAUAACAUUUGUCUUUUUUUUUUUUUUUUAAAAAAAAAAAAAAUUUUGAAUUUUUUUAAAGUUUAGCAGAAUAAAUUUUGAAUUUUAUUAAAGUUUGGGUCUGAAUAUAAAUAUCUAUCGCAUAUAAUUGUUUAUCGUCUUUUAAUAUUUUAAUAAAAAUUAUAUCAUAUUUAUUUUUAUAAAUAAAAAUCUUAAAUAUUGGUAUUUGACAUUUAUAUCAUAAUAAAUCAAAAUGUAUAAAAAGGGAGUAAAUUUUAUCAUUUGGAAAAUAGAUAUAUUUAAUAGAGACAUUUAAAAAAAAUUAUUUCUCAUUCGGGCUUUUUUUUUUUUACAUUCAGAAACAAACUCUCACUUUUAAUUAUCUAAUGAAUAAGAUGAAUGCAUUACAAACUGUGUAAAGGCGUAUCACCAGCUAGAGUUAAGACUCAUAAAGAAAAUCAAUUGCAUACAUACAUAAGCAAUAAUGUAGGGUGAUGGGGGGUUCAGAACGAGACUUAUGAUGUCUAGCCAAUUGAAGUUAUUAAUGGUCCCUACAUCGAUAUAUAUGUGUAUAUCGAUCGAGCAAAGACGAGAUAUGGUAAACAGAAUGUCAAAUACGGCAUUGGAAACGUAUUAACUAAAUUAAAGUGUGUGUUUCUCUUUUUUUUUUUUAAAUUUUAAAAUUUUCCCUGGCCAAUGCGUUCCUAAAUCCUAAUGGGUGGUUCUCAAAUCUCAAAGGACAAGAAGCAACAGAAACGAAAAGAAGAAAGGGCAUGGUUGCAGUUUGGUGAGCACAAUGUUGGAGAGGAGAGGCUGCGGCUAGGUAGAGGACCACGUGCCCUUUGAAAUGGAAGCUCACAAUAUUGGACCCCCAUUGAUUAAGAUAUAGCACAGUUGACACCACACCCUCUACCGUCCAGUUGGCUUUGGCGCCUAUCCUAUCGUUUGUUUUAUGUUAUAUAUGGGAGUUGGGACUUGGGAGUGUCGGUUUCUCCAUUCAGGAUAUUGGAUUUGGAGCUUUGUUGUUAUAAAGUUAAUUUGUAUGAAUUGAGUGGUGAUGGCAAAAUUGAAGGGAAUAAAUAAACUACCCCCCACCCGACGCUACCCUCAUCUUCAAUCUCGACAAAUAUUGAUAAUUGACUCUUCUUUUCAAUGUAAUUUUUUUUUUAUACUGGUUACACACCUGAUUACUGCAUUGCACAUAUAUUUACAAUCAGAUAUACCUAAAUGAGAUUUAUAUAUGAUUACAUUAAAUUCUAUAAAAUACAUGCUCAGAUAAAUUACCCUUACAGACGAGGGAUGCCCCUACUUCACUUGUAUUUCACAAGGAAUAAAAAGUUAUAAAUGGUUAGUCCCACAAUACUUUUGUGGGGGCUUGAACCACUGCCCUCACAACCCACCACUUCGACCAAGGCUAAAGUGGCUUUUCAAUGCAAUUAACAUUUGUUUAAUUGCAACUUCAUUUUUCCUCUAUGCGUGAUUGAUAUGAUGCCUCCUUGACUUUGUAAGUAGGGAAAUUGGGGCUUACUUUUAAUUACCUAGUUGCAUUUCUUAAUUAACCAAAUUAAGCCAAGACCACAUUUUGGAUGGAUGUGGGGCUCAAUGCAGAAACGUGCCGUCAUCACAUCAUUAGACCAUUCAUUGAUUUUAGGGUUGGCAAUUUAAGGGCCUGGGCCGGGCUUUGCCAAGCCCAGGACCAGGCCCAUAUAAUGUUAAAUAAGUCCAGGCCCUCUCAAAGCCCAUCCAAGUUAAGCGGGCUUUGGGCAGGCCGGGCCUUGACGGGCCUGGGCCGGGCCGCGGGCCAAGCCCGGGCUUUUACGAAAUUUUAAAUUUUUUUUAAAAAAUAAAAUUAUAAAAUUUCAAAACAUAAUUAACCAAUACAUAAUACUACAAUAGGCUAAAAACUUAAAUAUAAUUCUCUAAUACAUGAUUAGCAACACAAAAUAUAAAAAUACUAACAAUACAAAUACCGUACACAACGUACAAAUCAACCACUAAUAUAAAAAAAAAACUAAUAGAGAUUUACCGAUUUAGGAAUUUUGACAUUUUGUGACAAAACCUUUGCCCUUUCCCUUUGCCCGAUUUUUUUAUUAUUUUGUUUAAUUAUUUUUUCAAUUUUAUAAUAUAUUAUACAUUUUUUAAUAUAUAUAUAUAUUAUACAUAUAUAUAUUUUAUAAUACAUAUAUUUAUUUUAUAAUACAUAUAUUUAUCCUAUCAACCAAGUCCUGCUGUACCGUACAUCCGCCUUGGCCGUACAGCAGUGCCAUUAGGAAACUAUGUAGAUUGCAGCAUGUAAAUUUUAUCAGUUUUUUUAUUGUGCAUGUCUUGAAUGCUGCCGGAUGACUUACAAUAAACCAAAGCAUGUAUGUGGGUCAAAACUAAAUAAUCAGAGCAAAUGUCAAAUUGGAACAUGGAAACAAUAAUAGAAGACUUCAUUUCGAUUACCGAAAGAAAGAAUCCGCGAAGCAAUAAACAUGUGUUGGAAGAUUGUGCUGAUACUAUAUAUCAGAUUAUAAAUUAUUUGUAGUUGGUAAACAAUGUAAUAAGUUUCAAACAAUGUAAUAAUUUUUAAAUUGUUCAUUGCAAUGUAAUAGUUUUCAUAUUGAUGAAUGUAAAUUUCAAUUCAAAUGCCAAUUGCAAAUUUUCAAUUUCUAUUAAAUGGAUUUCUAAUUUUUUUUUUAAUUUUUCUCAAAUAAACAUUGAUACCAAAGUAUCGUUAUAUUUAUUAUGCUUUUGUAUCAUUAUUUGUUUGAUACCAUAGUCUCGUUAUAUAUGUGAUGUUCAAGCAUCAAUUUUUUUUUGAUACUAUGGUGACAUAGAUUCGCUGAUACAAAAAACUUGUGUCAGUAAUUUUCUUGCACCGUAUUCAGUGACACUUGACACUAAACUCGGUGUCAGUAAAAUAAGUUCUUGAUACUAAAAUAGUAUCAAAGAAUGUCAUUUUUUUACUAGUGUAAAAAGAGACAUCGAUUUAGACAAUAUAGCGAUGAAGUAAUGUAGGAAGUAUAUUACAUAAAAUAAAUUAGAAUUUAUUAGGAAUUAUAAUAUUUGAGUAUUUAGUAUUUUAUUUAGGGUUGGCAAUUUAAGGGCCUGGGCCGGGCUUUGCCAAGCCCAGGACCAGGCCCAUAUAAUGUUAAAUAAGUCCAGGCCCUCUCAAAGCCCAUCCAAGUUAAGCGGGCUUUGGGCAGGCCGGGCCUUGACGGGCCUGGGCCGGGCCGCGGGCCAAGCCCGGGCUUUUACGAAAUUUUAAAUUUUUUUUAAAAAAAUAAAAUUAUAAAAUUUCAAAACAUAAUUAACCAAUACAUAAUACUACAAUAGGCUAAGCGGGCUUUGGGCAGGCCGGGCCUUGACGGGCCUGGGCCGGGCCGCGGGCCAAGCCCGGGCUUUUACGAAAUUUUAAAUUUUUUUUAAAAAAAUAAAAUUAUAAAUUUUCAAAACAUAAUUAACCAAUACAUAAUACUACAAUAGGCUAAAAACUUAAAUAUAAUUCUCUAAUACAUGAUUAGCAACACAAAAUAUAAAAAUACUAACAAUACAAAUACCGUACACAACGUACAAAUCAACCACUAAUAUAAAAAAAAAACUAAUAGAGAUUUACCGAUUUAGGAAUUUUGACAUUUUGUGACAAAACCUUUGCCCUUUCCCUUUGCCCGAUUUUUUUAUUAUUUUGUUUAAUUAUUUUGAUUUCCUGCAAACUCCAUCUUUGUCUUAAGCAAGCCACAAGAAGAGACAGGGACAGGGAGAGCAUUUUUUUGUCUGGGCCGUUUCACAUCAAAUAUCUGGGCUUGCAAUGAGCUUCGAGUUUUGGAUUCAAUCUAGACCCCAUGCUAAUUGGGCCGUUUCACAUCUAAGGCCUGUAAAUCCGACUUAAAACAAAACCUCGACAGUCACUUUCGGCUCGCGGUGUUUAAGAAUUAAGGCUUUGAGUUUUAUACUAAUAUGGAGAGAGAUGUUUGGUUUCUAGGGUUUUAUUUAUUUAUAAUAUAAGCAAGUGAAGUGAAGUGAAGAGAAGAAAAAAAAGCAAAUGGAUUCGUUUACAUCUUCAGCGAGUGGAGCAGGAUCGUCUCAGUUCUCAAAUGAGGAGUUCAUGGACAAGUUGAAGCUCCAGCUUGCUCAGGCUUAUGCCCAGGAGUUUCUCGAGGUAUUCAAUCUCUUUCAUCAGUUUCCGUCGUUACUCUUCAUUUCUGUUUUUUUUUCUUCUUUCCCCUUUAAUAUUCCUUAGACAUUCAUUCUUUUCUCUGCUUUGUGCUUUUUUUAAUUUCGUUCUUUUUGCAAAUUUGUGUUCGCGCGUUCGAAACUAAAUUGAUCUUUAGAUUUUCUUUUUAAGGAAAAAAAAAGGCCCAUCUUUUCGUUACUUUUUUGGCUGUAAAUUGCUUUGGGUUAUCAAAAUUGCUUGAAUAAACUGCCCUCUAUAUACAUUAUUGAUUUGUAGUUGUAGUUGGAGGGUGUUUUGGGAACUUGUUCUUGAGAGUUUCUCCAGUCACUUUUCUCUUGCAUUCUACCUUAUUUGCAUGUUUUAUACAAAGGGUCUAAACAUAAGUCCUCUUACAAGUUAUGCCGACGUGUCUUUCGUGAUUUCGGUGGGAUCAGCAAUUCUGUCUUGAGUAUCUGCGUGUAUAUGCUUAGAAACAUUGGCCAAUUUGAGUCAUAGUUUUACCUCAUACAUCUGAUAAUGCGCCCUCUCAACUUCUGACUUAUUUUUACCUAAUCAUCACUUUGGAUUUCGAAAAUUUCCUAGGUCAUAGGGAGGAAUUUUGAAUCUGGUGCUAAUAUGUAUGUAUUCCCAUAAGCAAUAUUUAUUAUUGCUUUGUCUGCUGAGCAGAGUUUUUAGUUUUUGCCCCUCUAUCUUAUUUGUUUUGACUUCACUUAUGAAAAAUUGUCCACUGUUUGUUGGUUGGGUCUCGUUUUUGGAUGAAUCAUUUUUUCCUUCAUUGGACUUAUGGUUUAAGUGGUUAUUUGCUUAUCAGACUGUAACAGGCAAGUGCUUUGAGAAGUGCAUCACAAAACCAGGUUCAAGUCUGAGUGGCAGUGAGAGUAGUUGCGUCUCUCGGUGUGUGGAUCGCUAUAUUGAGGCCACUGGCAUCAUUGGCAGAGCGCUCUUUAGUGCACAGCGCUGAUCUUUCAGAUUGCAGCAUUUAUGCAGAAAAGAAUGUGCAAUUUGCCAAAUCUUGGAUCAACAAUUAUAUUUGGUCUUUACUAUUCCAUUUCUCGCAAUCAUCAAGUAUUUUCUUUGCCUUGAAUCUUACUAUAUGUACCGCAAUUUCUUUAUGCAAACUUGAAAUAUCUUAGCAUCUUAUCUGUUAAUGCUAGAAUUAGUACUUAUUACUAUUUGAUUAUUUGUUCCUGUAGCAAUGCAUAGUUUUGAUGCUGUGAUAAGGACCUUUGCUUAUGGGAUUUAAAUUUUGUUCCAUUGGAAUUUUAAAAAGAUGUAACAUAAGAGUAAAGUCAAAUUACAAAAUUGUAACUUGAAUUGAUGUACAGAACCGGCUAAUAUUUCCUUGAACUCCUUUCCUUCUCCUUCUCUGUCACCUUGUAUUUUGCCAUUAUGAUGCACUUUGCCAAUUUAUGAGACGGCACUUCCUCUUCAAAUGGCACAAUGGACCCAAAAUGUAUAACAUAAGUUCCUAUUUACGGCAAGUUGCUCUAUGCCAGCAGCAGCCUCCAGCUUUGCCCUUUUUCUUGCUUGAUAGCACCCAAAUCAAAUUCAGGUACUCAAUGAAUUUGUGGGAAAGACUGACACCGCUGGCUGUAAGAAUGAAAUUGCCGAUACAGAUACAGUAGUCAGCAGUGGUCGGUGAAUGGUGAAGUCAAAGAGCCGUCAGAUCUGUAUUAUCCUCUUACUCCACUCCCACCACAAUGUAUGUGUUUGGGAAGGAAAUAUGAGGCCAAUGAUGAAGCGCCACGUGUCGAUAUUUAAGAGAUUAAUUUAUUUCGGGUACCUUAGGUAUCUCGGGUACCUCGGAUACCCUAGAUAUCCCGGCUAUCCUAAGCACUCCGGGGGUACCUCGGGUACACUAUGAAAGGAUACAAAAGUCUUCGUAAAUAUGUGAAGGGAUAUGUGGGCCCCGAGUCUCAAAAAGAUCAGUUUGAUAUGUGUCAAAAAAUAAGGAAAUAUCGUGCCGCAAAAGAGGAGACAGCCGCCUGUCACGCCAGCGAAUCCGCCAAAAGUGUGAUAUUGUGACAACUGGGACCACCAGCUUUUCCUGCUGCGCCUGCAAAAUUACAACGGAAUUGCAGAGGUACGCGGGACCACUCCACUACGCCCAGCACGUGAAUACGCCACAAACUUGCUCUCCACGCAUAUUUUUGAAACGCUUAAGCCUCCAUAUGCAUGAAAGUAAGAAUAUUCCUGACAUGACAGCAGGGAAUGCCACUAAAAUAGCGUCAGGUGGCACGGCGACCGGGGUACACCAUAUAAAUACUCAGGUUUGAUUUUUAUCAAGUAAGUGAACACACUCACCACAAAAAAUUAGGGUUUCUUCAACCUCAAAAUCUCCAUUACCGAGAGCUUGCAAGCUCUCUAACCUGAGAUAACCCAACUCUGACUUGAGCGUCGGAGUGUGGUCGCCGGCCACCCCCGGCUCCACCUUUGACCUCUUUUUGGUUGUUUCGCAGGUUUAAAGCGAGUUUCACCAGCCCUCCACACCUGAAGUCAGAUUCCCUUCAUAACCAACGUCAUCUCAAUCCUCCUUCACUCCACAAAAAGCCUAAACAACUCGCACGUGCCGAACAAGCGAGGUACCCCGUUCCCCGACAAAAAUAUAAAUUUAUUGCUCUUGGGUUGGUUUUGUGGUUUUUUAUUCAUUGACCCAAAAUCAGCCGCAAACAGUAUGUUAUGCAAUGUGCAUAUAAACAUAUAUUAAACAGAAGUCACCACUGAUCACCAGCUGGAACCUUUGACUUCCAUCAGGAAAUUACAAUUUUAAUGGUCAUUGGACAUGGUUGCUUGCAACUACCAAGCUUCUAUUAUCCGACCUUGCAUCUACUGUUAAAAAUGUUCCCCCUAACUAUAUUCAGCCCAUCCCUGAUCGUCUAAAUCUCACUAAGGUUCAGAUAUCAGAUGGUACAAUUCACCUUAUCGAUCCGGAGGGUCUUUACGGUACUUUAGAUUGGCCAGGCAUGCCAAGAUGUUGGCUUCUUUCAGGUGAAGAACUAUGGGAUCCUGGAGGCAGUGAUCAAUAACAUGUUGAGAAAUCGCCAGAGAAAGAGGUUGAACAGUUGCUCUGAUGACCCUUCGAGGCCCUUAUAAGAUUGUCCACUAGUUUUAAUGUCAAGACUGAAAACGUGUCCAACUGGAGAGAUUUCCAGAGACUGCUUCAUGCCUUCAUUGCUAUCCACUUCAACAUUACGUGCUAAAUAUAUGUGUGUGUGUGUGUGUCCAGUCAUAUAUUUUAAUCCGUUGUUUUUGAGACUUAGGUAGUGUUUGUUUUUUUGUCUGAAAUCUAAAUGGGUCUGAAUUUUUUUAAAGUCUGAAUGGGUCUGAAUAUGAAAAUCUGAAUGACAUGUUUGUUUUUCUUUUUUAAAUAUUUGAAUAUAAGUGACAUCUUGUUUGUUUUUACAAUAAAAAAAAUCUUAAACUUGGUUAUUUGACAUUUAUGUCCUUAUAAAUUAAAACAAAAAAUAGGAUUAAAUUUUAUAGUUUAGGAAAUAAGUUAUUUUACAGAGAUAUUUUUGGAAUAUAAUAUUUACUUAUCAUUCAGAUAAAAGUCACAAAAGUUUAUUUUUUCUAUUCAGAUGUAAAUGUCUUAAAAUCAAAUAUAAGUUCUAAAAAAUAAACAAGUAUAUUUUAAAAAAUAUCUGAAAUUAAUAAAAUUUCAGACUUCAGACAUUUAACAAAUAACCUCUUAGACGCUUGACAGGGAGGCCAUGGGUGACUACUGUACAAGUGUAAAGAUGUUUAGUGCUAAGGGUAGUUGAGUUGAGUCCUUAACAGAAAGCUCAGGGCUUCAAAGUGAUUAUAUUAUAUUUAUAGAAAAGGAGGCAUUAGGCAAAUAUGGGCAACACAUGGCUUUAAACUUGUAUGUAUCCACCCUGCCCUCAGCCCGAGCUGACUCUGGAUUGCCAACACAGGACAAACUGAUCCUAAUUUAUUAAAUGAUGAUUGAUUGAUGUCCUUAGAAACGGCAACUGGCUUGCUGUCAGUCCUAUUCCUAUUUCCGAAUACCUUCAUUGUCAACAUCGGCGAUCAAAUGCAGGUCAAUUUCAUUCCCGCCAAAUAAUUGAAACAUCUCAUUUGUUGGCAGAGACGGUAAUUAAUCAAAUUUUGUAACUCGGAUGUAUCCGUAUCACUCAGGUUCUUAGCAAUGAUCGAUACAGGAGUUAGAGUGUGCUCUAUCGAGCUGGGGUAGACUGUGACAAGGAGGCAUGUCUGUUUCAACGUUCUAUUGUCCAUCACCUGAUGCUGUUAUAGCUCCUUCCCUUCAAAGGAUUUGAUUGACCGACAUCACCCGGCCGUCUAUUCAAAUUUUGGAACAGGGAGGUUGCAGCUGAAUUCUGCUUGGACUUGUUCAAAGCUUCAACUGCCUGAUCUUGUCUUGUCAUUAUACAUGUAGUUGGACAUCUAAUUUCAUAACCUCUAAAUAAUUUAUCGUAUUUCGUCUGUUAUCAAACAGUUUUCUGUACAUUUCCAUUUCUAUAUCUAGUUAUCUACUUCUAGUUUGUAACUAUUAUUUCAGAUUAUUGAUAUUUAGCUGUUGAACAUGUAAAAAGUAAAUUGGUUCAUCACCAGUAACAAGUAAAAGUAUGCGUUUUCCAGGCUCUCAAAAUAGGACAGAACAGUUUGUAAAAGGGAAGUUGUCUUUAGAAAUAUUUUGCCACUCUUAACGCUGACGCAAAAAUAAUGUUUGCUUUUUGGUUUUGUGAUAUAUUCAUGCACAUUCCCAACGGAGAAACCGUUUUCAUAAAGGUGAGAUUUCGGUAUGAUUAAACAACUUAAAAUCCUAUUCUUCAUUUCAAUUGAUAAUAUAUGGGUUGAUCGUUGACUAGUUAUGAAUUUGAAUGAAUGAAUUAGUGGAUGCUCCAGCCUCCUCCACGGUUGGUUUGAUGAGCACUGAUACUGAAAAAUAGCUAUGCAGCUAGAAUUACCGUUCAACGGGGAAGUGAUAGCGAUUGGAAACCCCCGAAGCUAGCCUUGCAAUGAAAAGCUUGUUUCAGUUUGAUUUGUUCACGAUGAACACAAAUGCAGGAGGAUAGGACUUGGGAGAGCACAAGAAGAGAAUUUGAAAGCUUGGCAAAAGCGGCAGUAUUUUACGAAGAUAAGUGAAAUUUAGUUUGGGAACCUUGUGUCUGUUCCAGCUUAAUUCAGAUCUAAUGGCAUUCACCAAGAGAACACUGAGUCACUGCAAUCUUCUCCAUAAAUUGAACUGGCUAAAGGGUUUAGAACCAUGAAAACAUAUCUUCUGACAGAAUAUAGCCAUUGCAGAUUGACAGUUCAAUUAUCCGUCUACAACUAAUACAAUCUAUAUAUUAAAAACAGACAUGCAGUGCAGCUCACCUAUACAAUUCACCUACUCAUAUUCAACUCUUUCUACACUCCCGCUCAAUCUGAAUAGUCACAUGACUGAUGUUGUAUUCUCUCUUAAUAUAGUCUAUAACAUUUUCUAAUACCAUGUCAGCAUCAGCUUCAGGCUUGAUUUUGACAUGGCAGGCCAAUAACACUUUCCCAACUGUUAUAGCCCAAAUGUGCAGUUCAUGGAUGGCAACAACCUCUUCCAUCUCACAAAGCCCCUUCUCAAGCCUCGUGGCAUCAACCUCUCUAGGUGUGCUCUCCAUCAGAAUCUCUAAAAUGUUUCGCAACAUCCUGAAUGUUGUGCCCAACACAAUAGCAGAGAAAGCUAGGGUGCAUAUCAAAUCAAUAAUCUUCCACUCAGGCUUAUACCAUAUGAUUGCCCCGCCAAUCAUCACCCCAACACUUUGAAUGGAAUCCCCAAGUACAUGUAGAUAAGCCCCCUGCACGUUGAUGUUCCGUUGUUUCUUCUGUUUCGGACCAUCCUUCGGUUUAUGUUCUUCUGAACAAGUGCUUAGCAGAGGCUCAGUGCGAUCUGUUUCAUGGGAAUGAAGAUGCUCAUCUCUGUGUUUGAAGUCACCCCCAUGAUGAUGCUGAUGAUGUUUAGCAUCAUGCCCAUGACUGUGAUCGUGUCCAUGGUUGUGACCAUGACCGUGAUCAUGACCCAGAAAGAAUGCCAUGGCGAUAUUAACAGCUAAACCAAUUGCAGAAACGACAAACAUAAGAAAUCCUUGAACUUGGCCAUUUUCAUGAAUAAGUCUAACAAUAGCUUCGUACACAAGGAUUCCAGCGAGAAGCCAUAUCAACUGAAUGGAAACAAGGGCACCAAGUAUCUCAAUCCUGAAGAAACCAUAAGACUGACGUGGAGUCGCCUCCCACCCCGAAGCCCAUAUAGAGAACAACGAUAUUGCAAACGCUGCAACAUCCGACAAGAGAUGAGCUGCAUCGGUCAAUACAGCAAGGCUGUUGGCCUUCAUACCUCCAACAACUUCUACACCCAUGAAGAUUAUACAGAGCACAACUACAAUCAAAAGCUUCAGCAUGGAUGCUGAACGCUCCUCUGCAUCUUUCGAACUGGUUUUAGAGUCCGAAAAUCCACAAGGUGCUUCUCCACAAAACUUGCUCCCCACUAGGCUUGUCUGUACAGCCGAUACAUCACCACAUACGUCAAUUACAUGCGAGUGUUCAGAGUUUUGCACUUCCAUCUGAAAAAUCAACAUCAUGAAGAGUGGAAAAAAGAGUCAGAUGCCAAUGCAAGCAUAUUUUUAUGUCCUCAUUCAGUGCAACACAAUGACCAAUCAUGAUUGUAGCUUCAGAGAAAGGAAAAUUCCAGAAGUUAGAUAAAUAAAUUUGUUCUUCACAUGAGUUCAAAUACCAAUGAGAAGGCCAUAUUCUCAUCAUCCGUGUGUUCUUAAACCAACCAUCCUUGCUUCGAAGACCAAAAAUUUGUCCAUAGAUGACUACUAGUCAAAUCUUUGUUUCUGAAACCCCAAUUUCUUCCUUUCCCCCGCCACAAAGAUAAAAAGGUGGAAUCGACUAGCAAAGCUAAAUCCAUAAGCAGCUGUUUGGAAAUCUCUGGAACAGAGAAGAAGAGGGAGUCUUUUGGUACAGACAAAGUAAGUCAAUAAAUCUAUCCAUGCACAUGCAACGCUAAAGAAAUUCAAGCUUUCAGAAAUCGGAUAGAUACACACAUGAUGAUCAGAAAUCAGAUUUCCUCGUGAACAUUUCUUUUAAAAACAAAUAAUAGAUGAUUAAACAAAGAAAAUAACAAGCACGCAGAAAGGAUGUUAACAUGAAGAUCGGACGCGUAAUCAGCCAUUAAUUCAAAGAAAUCAAGAUCAUACAAGUGACGUGAGAAUGAAGAAUCAAUCAAAACACCUGUCCAGAAAGAUCAACGCAUAACAUGUAGCACUACAUAUCCAUCCAUCCAUCCAUCCAUCCAUCAAAAUAUGACAAAUUUAUUUGCUCCUUGUGUUCAGGAGGAGGGAACUGCACUGGCCAAAUACUAUAAAUUAACAUAUUAAAGAACAAAAAACAAAAAGAACAGACACACAAACAUACCAUUGGAUUGAUGGUUGUCAAUUGAAGUAGAAGAUUACUAGCACACACAGUCUCUGUCUCUCUCUCCCUCCCCCCACCUCAGAGGCUGCUGAUACGUGACUUGUUUUUUUCAGUUUAUACUACUAACACAAAUCAAAUAUUUUGUUUCUUUCCCCUGUUUUUCUAAUUUAUAGGGCGUAACACUUACUUACGGCUGUGUAAAUAGUUCCCCAGUAUACGUAUGAAUAAAUAAAUACAUGUACAACAAUUUCAUUUUUCGGCUUUACUAAUUAACGAAAUUUGUUUGCUAGCCAAUUAAGACUUUUACACUUUUGCUAUUUUGUCCUAAAUAUGCCAGGAAUCUUAUCCACGAUUUGAUUUCUGUCCACCACACACUAAUAAAAGUAGAAAUAUAAUUUACACAACGAUAUAAUAUAUAUAUAUUAUUUCCUUUAAUUAGUUAGUAAAAGUAGAAAUAAAAAGGAACACACACCACUAUUAACUGGCAAUUUUGAUUUUUAUGGUAAGAUAUUAAUUUAUGGAGUGAAAAAUUACUAAAAUUAUAAAAAACUUACUGUUAAAUUUUAAUGGCAUCAAAAUCUUGUAAUUAAACUCAUACAUUACAUGGUUGAUUUAUAAAUACACUGCUCUACACUGUACCGAAACAAUGUAAAGUUUAAGCUAAGCAUAGCGGCUAGCCGGCUAGUGCUAAGGGUGGGUGCACGUGUAAAACAAGGGGAAAGAGGUGGAUUGCCAGCUCAUUGUUAUAGUUUAUAAUGUAAAUUUCGAAUGAAUUUGAUUGUCCAUUCCUCAAAAAUAAUAAUCUAAUGUUGCGAUGACAGUCGAUAAUAAUGAUAAGAUCAGAGGUUAGUGCGAAGGAUUGUGGUGCUGACACCUUGGCAAAUCUCCGGUUCUGAGAAAUGGUCUGAUUAAGGCUCUUUUUGUCACUUUUCGCAUAUGUUCAAAUCAAUAUCACUCAGAAAUUCCACUGUGUGCACGUGAUUGCCUAAUCUUUUGGCUUUUGAUUUAACUUUCAAACCAAACGGGGUGGUCAUUCACAACAGCACUGAUGUAAGAAAUUGACCUAUAAAAUAAAAUUGGCUCACAGGAAGGAAUUGUGGCCUGGCAAUCAACUCUUUGUUGUAAAAUUCCCAAUGAAGUGAAACUAAAUUAUAACCCAAACAUACAAAAAUUGGUCGUACAUCAUGAACUUUGAAGCGACUGCUAAACCCACAACUAUAGCAAAAUCAAGGCAACAAUGAAAUAAUCAAAGUUCCUUCUUUUUGGUCUCAAGAACUGGAGGGUCAAUAUCAAUACCCAUGUUAGCCGCAGUACCUGCUAUAAUUCUCAUUGCUGAUUCAAUAGAAGUGCAAUUCAAAUCUGGAAGCUUUUCCGUGGCAAUGGCCCGCAAUUGUUCAAUGGUGAUCUUCCCCACUUUCUGUUGCUUUGGAUCUUUUGAACCCUUCUCCACCCCUAUUAUCAAUCAGUUCAGUGGCAAUUAAAAGCACAAUCUUUUACUCAUGAUAUUUAUUAAAUGGCAGAAUACACUGUAGAUUGAUCACUUAACCAUUUACAGUUACAGCAUUUUGCUAUUCAACAGUAACCAAUUCCGCCAAACAAACUGAUUGUUUGCAAUUACAACCAAAAAUACCAAGUUGCUUAAGCAUGACCCCAUAGAUAUCCAUUAAAAAUGCCAACAUGAUUGAAUGGAUAAGUUGAAAACACCUUAACCUUGUUCAGAACUCAAUAUAGCUUUUAUUCGAGAGAUAUACAUUCAAAGCUUCAAUAUUCCAUCCUUCUAUGAAUUUCACAGCCAUUAUCCCAUUAUGAAUCUUGUCUUUCUCAUACAAACAUAGAUGACAAUGACCCACAAUAUGGCAUCAUCUAAUAGAUAAAAUGCAUUCAUUGUACUACAAGAUUUAAUAACAAAACAACGGAUCAAAAGAGAUCAAGGAUGAGGAUUGUAUAUGGGAAUUAGCAUUGAGAUUGCAGCAAAAUGUAUCAAGGUCAUUAAUAAGGGAGUGUUUCUUGCAAUGAAACUUUAAUUUUUGAGAAGUAAAAACUGAUAAGCAUUAUGGAUCCAGAAGUCCUGCUCAUACUGUGAGCAGUUAUGAAAAGGACGCACAAAAAUACUAGCUGUGGACCUCUUUCGGGCAGGCCGUGAUAAAAUAAUCAGUGGAGUGGAGUGAAUGCUACCUAUUGCAGAGCAAAAGAUAAUGGAUCUAUUUCAAUAACAAACUCAUACUUCUAAAAGAAUGAGGUUUCUGGUUAAUUUCCAUGUUGAACGAGAAGUUUUGAUGUUCAGCCAUGUUCUUGUUGGGAAAAAGAAAAAUUAAAUGAAGUCUUUGAGAUUAUACUGGGUCUUUCAGUUUAUCCUUUUAUGUUUAUAGUGUUCAUUAUUCAUAGCCAAGAAAAAGGGGACCGAAAAACAAGCAAAGUAAAGACAACACAAAGAUAAAGUAUCUGCUUGGCACUAGCCUAUCAUAAGGAGAACACUACGGUUAUGGCCAUGUAAACACAAAUUUCACUCCUCAACAAGAGGGUCGACUUCUUGUCUUUAGGCCUUUCUCAGUACAAUGAAAUCUCACCCCUGUUACUGGAAUCAACAUUACCCCAACCCAAAAUAUGCAGAAAUACGUACAAAGUUAAUCCAAAAAUAAUAUGUGGGAUUCAAGAUAAGGGAAACAUAUUUCAACUUGCUGCAGAUUUGGUGUUACAAAAACAACUCUUCUGGUUUUUACUCAUUUCAGCCAAAAGAGAUUGCUUAAACAGUAGGCAUCUUUUCAGCUACCGUUUAAUAAAUGUAAUCAAAUAAACUUCAAUUACAAGAUGUAGCGACAGAACAUAAUUCAGAUAUGAGAAAAUUUCAAAGGCCUACUUAAAAUACAGAAUUGAAAAGUCCAUGCAUUACAACAAUGUGUCGCCUUACCUUUGUUAAGCCAAGCACAUACAUUUUGGUUUUCCAAGAAUCUCAACAAAGUUUCAAGGAAUCACAGUGGCACCGCAGUUGAUUCAAUUAGGAUCAACUACUCAAUUCUCAAAAAUUAUAAUAUAAUAUAUGUAAUAGGGUUAAUUAUAAUUGAAAGCAUACCAGCAGCCUUAAGGAGCAAAACUGACGCGGGCGGCGUCUUAAGAAUAAAAGUGAAGCUCCUAUCCUGAAAGAAAGAAAGAAAGAAAGAAAGAAGGAAAGAGAGGAAAAUAAAUAGACAAAUAAAAAAGGGGGUCAAUGAAUUAACUGAAAAGAAAAUGAAGAACAAAUGGAUUUGGAAGCACUAACAUCGUAAACGGUAAUUUCGACUGGAAUAACGUAACCGGCUUUAUCAGCAGUUCUAGCAUUAUAAUCCUUACAAAAAGCCAUGAUAUUUACACCCUUAGCACCAAGGGCUGGCCCCACGGGCGGCGCAGGUGUGGCCUUUCCUGCCUCUAGAGCCAGCUUUAUCAAACCCAACACUGCUCCGCGCCCGCCAAUGAACAAAUAUUAAAAUUAAAAAUUAAAAGAAUUAAGCAAAUGUAAAAGCAAAUAAGAACCGAACAAAAAAUGAAAGGGCAUGGUCGUAAAUAAAUAGAGGUACCUUUCUUGGCUUUGGCUUUGCCACCGGGUUUAGGAGGAGCCAUGGCAAUGACAGUGAGAAAUCUUGGAGUUGAAGAGAGGAGUGGGGAUGGUUUAACUUUAUUGUCGUAAAAUGGGAGGGAGACAUUAGAGUUUGAGGAUAAGUUGAUGGCUGAAGGAAAUAAAGAGCACGAAAGCUGCUGACUAGCAUUUUGAAGACUCGUUGAAGUGGAUAGAGAGGAAGCCAUUGAACCUCGAAUCCACUGAAUCUGAGUAACCAAACAACAGCAAACUAAGAAGAAGAAAAUGUUUCGGAUAAGUUCGUUGGGACUUAAAACUACAUCUCCGGCCGCUCUCUCUCAACUCUUGCCCACCAUCUCUAUGGACCCCCACAUCAAUUUCUAAUGUACCCACAACUACAAUUUUCAAUUUUCAAAACGAAAAUCUCGCCAAUUUCGACACCCCGUUUUUUAUAUUUUUAAAUUACUAGCCGACACCCCUUUAAAUUCCCGAUCUACCCCCCAGUGAACCUCCCCGUUGGUUUCCCUUGGAUUAGUGAAAUCUUUCUGGCCCAAAUUUUUUAUUAUUUUGAUUUGUGCAAUGGAUUCUUUCUUCUUUCUACCAUGGUUCAAGAAUUUUUCUUAAAAAAUCUACUAUUUUAUGUACUCGCUCUUUCUUUUGCCAUUUUAAAUGAAAAAUAAAAAAUUAUAUAUAAAAAAAAAAAAAAAGAAAUGGAGAGACUCAUUGUCUAAUACUUGGGUUUAGAAGUUGAAACAAAAGUCGAGACAGUUAACGACUAUUGACAAUGAGAGUAAUGUAUAAAUAUUGAAGAAUUGUUUUCUAUGAUUACGAACACAACCCAGUCUGACAAAUUAUAUGAUUUUUGCCUUAUGCUCAUUAAUUUUUAUUAAGAAGUUUAUCACCUAUAGAAAUUAUUUGUGUGAAGACUUAAGUCAAUAAGAUUGUAAAAUAAUUGUAGGAGCAAGAAAUAAUAAAAAAUUAAUAGACUCAUAAAUUAAUUGUGUUUAUUUAAAAAGAAAGGUACUUUUGACAUUAAAUUUAGUAUAAUUGAAGGGGAUGUUUUAAAAAGAUUUCGGAGGGAUGGCAAUAGUUCAAUUCUAAUAAAAGAAAAUAUCAAUUUUAUUUUAUUUUAAUAAUUACCAUUUAUUAUUAUUAUUUUAAUAUUGAAAAAUCACAAGUUCUCUCUGCCAGAAAACGAGUUUCCGAUAAAAGAAGAAACUCAGAUUGAAUAUUUUAUCUGUAGUAUCACAAAGCCUACAUAUUUUGGCCUUUUUUUCUUUUUCAAGAAGAACAAGAUUAAUUUUUUUAUUGAAAAUUCCAAUCAGUACGACUGACUGAAGUAAGUUUUAUAAUUACAGAAACAAAUUAGAUACCGUGAUCAACGGAAUUAACAAGGCAGGGAGUAGCCACAAGCUAACCAUUGUAAAUUAGUUCUUCUUUGCUGUGGCAGAUGGUUGUUACCCAAUUCUUGCCGAGCAUAAUUCAUUUUGGAGUUGUAUUUUAAUAAUGCCAAAACCAACCAACCAACCUAACAGCUGGAUUUCGACUGAUUGACUUGAUUUUUGACAAAGUUUGGUUAAAUGAUUAAUUAAUUAGAUUUAAUCACUACUCGACUCAAAGAUAUGAAAGCUUGAAGGAAGUUUAGUUUAUUUGUUCAUUCCAUACAUUGUCUUGAUCGAGUGCAAUUGCCAUUCAUCCUAUACAUUGUCACUAUAAGAUUCAAAUUUGAUAGCACGAAUGGCUACUGGGCUCCUCACAAAAUGCUCACCAUCCGUCCAUGUCAGGCUGCCGAAUCUGUACUCUGCAUCUGGGACUGGAUGCACUUUAUGAUUUGAGAAGAAGGUCACUCUGAAGGAAAGAAUUUUGAUGGUCAUAUUGAAACUUAUAACUUCAGGUUCAACUGUCAUAUUUACGCCAUACGGAGCCUCCACUAGAGCUUCAUAAGCUGAGUUAAUUUGUCCCACAUUUGUAACCUUUCUUGUAACUGUAACUGUCUCAUUGUUAUGUAGAUUUGGGAUAGUGAUAGAUGGGAGGUUAAGGUCCAGAGCGAGAUGGUUGUUUUUCAAGCAGUUGAUUUUGGACUUGGUCAAUCUGCUGAUUGAUGCAUCGUUGUGACCCAUGAAGCAGAGGAACUGGAUAUAGUCCUCUACUGUAAUGUCAUAAACAAGCCCUGGAUUCAUUGCCUUGUUAGGAUUAACAUGCCCGCCCCCUAUGUCAAAUGGGUCUGCUUCCUUGCGAGUAGAGCCUUCCUCAAAUAUGUUCAUUCCGUCUGUUCCGGUUUGAGAAGCUGCAGUCAAAUGUCACCAAUUUCGGUUGGUUACAUGAGUAUGGCGUUACUACUCAUCAAUCAUGCUCUUCUUUUUUCUUGCCAUAUAAGAAAAUAACCAAAAAGGGGAAAAAACAGGAAAAAAAAAAAAAAACAACCAAGCAACCAACCAACCGGUUGUAACUAGAGCUGAUCUUAUGGCUGCUGGGGACCAGUCUCGAUGUAAAGAUUUUAUGAGUGCUGCUAUUCCUGCUACAUGGGGGCAAGACAUUGAAGUUCCUGAUAGCAGUGCAUACCCUUGGAUGUCCUUUGAGCCAAUUGGUGGAUAUGCGGAUAAGAUAUCCACACCCGGUGCAACUAUGUCAGGCUACCAUCCUCAAUCAGACAAUGGGUUUGUAAGGUAAUAAUUUUGAUAUUAUACACAUACACGUACAAAGAAUAGAAUAAACAAGGAAGAGGUAAGAAACUUUACAACUUGGAAGUCACAUUAUGCUAUCCAAGUGCCAAGAAAAUUUGUAUGCUUUUGCUUGUGUUACAUGUAUAAUGUUGGUUUCACAUUAUAACUGAGAAUUUAGCUUAUUGCUCCGUACCUUCAAUACAGCUGGGGACAUUGAAUUAGGUCCUCUGGAUGAGAAGGAUGCAACUCUUGGAGAUACCAAAUCCCCAAUAACAGUCUCGGGAGAACUCAGCUUUGCAAUCGGAGACCUACGCAUGAAAUCAAAUAAACACAAUAAAUUGUAUUCAGUUUAGAAACACAUAAUGUUUCUGUCCUCACCAUCCUCCAAUCUGUCUGCCACUACCUUGCUCUUCUAAUAUAGGAGAGAAUUUGUGUCCCUACUUCAUAAUUUACUUUAAUACAGUGAAUCAAAUUGCAAGAGUCAAGCCCGUCGGUAUGAAACUGCGCAUAUAUGAGUCCAACCCCUCCUGCUUGCGUCACAGAAAUUGCGGCAGACUGUAUGUCCUGUGUGUCUGGUCUUGAAAAGCAUAGAAUGAUUUUUCCUGCAGCUAAUGUCGCAUUAAGACUUCCCUGCCGGCAAUCGUUGCUGAAAGGUUGUAGUGAUUGAAUAGUAAAUAUAUCACACGGAAUGUUGGAGAGAUAAAUUGAAAAGUAAAAAGAUAGAGAAAGAAAUGUCUCUCUCACGCAGAAUCAGGGUCAAAAGCUAUGCGUUCAGAGUAUGUGAGGCCAGUAAAUCCAUGACUAACUUUUCCAAUAUCAAUCGAUUGUCCCUGAAAGAAACAAAAUGAUCACAAGAAAUCUUUGAACAUUGCAUUUUUUAUUUUUUAUUUUUGGCCUGAUAUGAGUGAAGAACUAUUUACUAUACCCAGAGAACUUGGUGAUUUCCAAGUGUUAUGGCCGUGGGGAAGGCCCUGUCAAUUGUGGUUGCUCCAACAGUGAUUAUCCAAGGUGCUGUGUUCACAAUUGUUUGAGCAACAGGGCCAUCGUUUCCUGCUGAAGAAACUACAGUGAUCCCCUUGGCAAUUGCAUGGAAGGAACCUAUUGCAAUUGAAUCACGUUGAUCAAUAUAGGAAAACAGUGGUAUCUCAUUGCCAAUAGACACAGAUAGGACAUCCACUCCAUCGUGUAUUGCUUUAUCAAAUGCUUUUAGUACAUCAGCAUCAGUGCAUCCAAUAUCCCAGCAAGCCUUGUAAAUUGCCAAGUGGGCUAAAGGUGCUCCUCCUCUGGCUAAUCCAGCAGCUAGCCCUCUAUAGUUUGCUUUUUCAACAAAAUAACCAGCUGCUGUGGAUGCUGUAUGAGUGCCGUGUCCAACUGCAUCCCUUGGAGAAAAAUACUCAUCAGUGUUAGUGGAUGCAUUGAUCAUAUCCAUGAUCCCUUUUAUGAACCACCGAGCACCAAUUAACUUUCUGUUGCAAUUGGAAGAGUUGAACUUCUCUCCCUUUUGGCAUAUUCCUUUCCAAUGUGGUGGAACUGGAGCUUGACCCAUGCCUUUAUCACUGAAACUUUCAGACUCUGGCCAAACUCCUGCAUAGAUUUAAAAAUUUAUUCUCAGGUUAAUAACGUUUUCCAGAUGUUAAUUAUUCCUUAAUCCUCAGGGUGAUGUCUCUACGUAUUACCUGUAUCAAUGAUACCAAUGAUGGUACCUUCACCCAUGUUGCUCUCUGUUGAUAGAUUUUUUGAAGACUGAUAAUAGUGGAGCCCCAUGAAUUCCCAGCUUCUGGUUGUAUGAAGCUUAAGAAUUCCAUUGGGAAUUACUUGAACAACGCCAGGAAGUUCUGCAAUUUAAAUUUCGAAUAUUUUUAAGACGCUGAAAAGCUAUGAGACGACAACACGGGCUUUCAGGCAAGUUAUCUCACCUGCUAUCUUUUCUGCCUGAGUUUUUGUUAGCCUUGCAGCAAACCCUGAAAACCCAUGUUUAUAGCUGUAUAGAAUUGAAUGCUUUGCUGCUUCUUUGCUGUGUCAAAAAUAACGCAAUUAAUGUUGUGAUUAUUACUUAUUGAAAAUUUAACUGACCAUUUUGAGUUUAUAUACUUAAGUAUGUAUGUCGAUUUAAAGUCAUACCUUCCAAGCACGGUUGAUAGAAAUCUGUGGUGAGACUUUGUGAUGGCUACUGGAUCUUCAUACUUCUUCUCUCCCAUAUACACAAUGUGCACCUAUAACAUUUUUUUGCCAAGUAAUCAUACCGAGAGAAAAAAAAGGAGGGGAAAAAAAGAGAGGAGAGAAAGCAAAAAAAGAAAAGUCAAAAUGUUAGAAUCUGGAUGUUGAAGUUACAUUUACUUACAUUACUUGUUGCAUCAACCAAUAUUAAGGAAAUCUGAAGAUGGUGUUGGAGCAGAAUGACGACAAGAAUUCUCAGCAACUGAGUUUUUCUUGCCUCCAUUCUGUUUCUUGAUACAAUAUAUAUCAAUCAGCAAAGCACAUGGAAACGUGCGGAGGAUUUUGUGCUAGACAGAGUUUCAAUUGUUCAAUGAAAAAUGGGAAUGUUCAUAAGUUAGCUCUUCUAUUAGAUCUUCACGUAAUUGAGGAAAGGAGAACAUUUUCCUUUUGAGUCUACUUUUGCUCUUUAUGCUUUACCAUCUUUUAUUAUUUUUUUCUUCUAGGACUUUAUGCUUAAUGGAUUAAAAGCAAGUGAGAAUUUAUGUGCUUGUGGAAGUUGCUGUUACCCGAAAGAUGCUCCAGAGAGCUCCCAAUUACCGCAAUGUGGGAGUGGGGCACAAUUUUGUGUAGAAAGAUAUGCUGAAAGCUGAAAUCCAAAUAAAUUACUUUAUCUACUUUUCCCAGCUUUUGUUCAACUCAACUUGUACAGUAGACCGCAUUUGCUUGAGUUGUAUCUGUCAAGCAUCAUAGUGGCUAAUUAUUACAUUUGCAAGGUGCAUGAUCUAAAAACUUUUGAACAAAAUAAAAUUGACCAGGGCAGUCGGCACCAAGCUCUGUCUCUUCAUCACUGAUCACUGUGUGGUUUUUCUUGAUAUGUUUGGUAAUUAUUAUAUACACAAAUAGAUUUGAGUUGUGUCCUAGUCUUGCACUUAAUAUUCGAGAUUGGUGAUGGAUGAUGAUGAUGUUGCACUGUAUUGAUAAGAAUGACCCUUGAACCACUUUCAUUGUAGCACCUUUAAAUUAAAGUCCGCCCGUGAGAUUCCAAGACCUCAAGUUCUGCUUGUGCCAUCUGCUUUUAUCUUUUUCCUUCAUUGUUAGCACUCAGCAGUGGGACUGAUGUUUUCCUUUCUUCCUUUCAUUUAUUUAAAAAUAAAUAAAAAUAAAAAUAAGGCAAGAUGGUUCGAUGAAAACGCGUCAUGUAAAUGUAACAAACUCGUGAUGCUGAGAAAAAGCUGCAAGGGAUGAUCACAGCGUUGAUACUGCAGUUGGUGGAUCACUUCUGCAAAGCAGGUGCCAGCAAUUGACGUCGGGAAAAUCUAACGAUGGCAAAGUAGCUGGGCCUGAGAAAACUUGAGUCGAGCUAGCAUGUCUUUUGUUGGGUUGGUCUUAGCCUGAUUUGGGUUGGAAUUUUUUUUGGAUAAGGGCAAAAAGCCUGAGUUUGGUUUUUUUUUUUCAUCAUGUUUUAUAAAUUUAUAGUUUAUAAAAUUUUAUUUUAUUUUUGUUAGGUUAGACUUUAGAAGUUGGGAUUACAGGAUUCAAACUUUAAAUAUAUAUUCAAAAGUAUAUUUUAAUUUUUUAAUCAUUUCUUAGGUUUUUGGGUGAAAAUAUGCUCGGCCUGAAACACCCAAUUGCAGGCAGGGCUAGGUUUUUCUGACAUCCCUAGGACAAUCAAAAUAAUUACAAAUUAAUUUGAAUUAGGUUAAGUCUGGUUCGAUAUUAAAAUUAGGUAAUUGUAACUUAAAGGCUACAAUAUUAAUACAUUUAAUAAACUUGAAUUGAUUUGAUCAUACACUUGUUUGAUGAAAUACUUGUAAUAUGUUUGUUAUUUUUCUUAAAAAAAUUAUUUAAAAUCAUAUUUACUAUACAAUAUCAACUUUUAUUUUAUAGUUUUAAUUUUUUUUCCAUACAAGUGUAACUUAAAAGAUACAACACUUUAAUACCAAAUGCAAGCACAAGAUGUUAAUCCAUUUUAUUUAUGGUUGCUCAAUACAACUGAAGAACUCUAACUAUUAUACAUGCCUGUUCAAGAAUAUUUUUCUAUGAAUACUUUAUUUAAAUUGUGUUAAAUUUAUUUGGAAGAAUUUGGGAUCCUGCUAACUUACAUCAUUUGUAACUUUCAACAAACUCAAAUGUAAUAACCAAAGACCAAUUGCUCUUGAUUUGCUAAAUGUGUAGAAGAAGAAGAAGAAGAAGAAGAAGUAAAACAAUAAUAACAAUACUACUAAUGAUGAUGCACUAGCACAAGCACCUCUGUUCUAGCUCUACUGGUUUAAGAUUUUAUCAGGAGCCCAUAGCCUUGUCUCGUCUUGUAUAUAUUUACAUGCAUUGCAAUGGUUGCUCAUGUGUGGCUCUGAACGAAGACAACAUUUUAUUUUUAUUUUUAUUUUUAUUUUUAUUUCCUCUUUGGUUGUUUGUUGACACCCUGUUAAGGGUGGCAAAAAGGCUUGCGUCUAGAUAUGUGUCCAAAAAUUGUAAAGCCUACAUAUGUUGGGCCUGGACAAAAACUUAGCAAAAAAACCCUGACUUGGUUUGGGCUUUUUUAAUUUAUUAAUAAAAAAUAAAUUUAAUUUAAAUAUAUAAAAACCUCAAAAUAUUAAAUUAGUUUAAUUUUUUAUAUUUGUAUUUGUUAUUUGAUUAGGUUGUAUUAAUGUAUUGAACUAUUAUUCUAUUAUAUAUUAGAUGAUUAUCUUCAAUUUAGACGGGCUUUUGAAGGGCAUAGACUUUGUUUGAAUGAUGUGUGCUUGGGUCUGGGCUUUGAAAAGCACGGCCCAAGCCCACAAAUUGCCAUCCUUACACCAUGUCACCACUAAAUGAUGAUAUUGUCCCCCCACCUCUUAAAAUACCCCCUUCCCAUCUAUUUUAAAAUUUUGAAUUUUGCUUUAAAGCUAUUGUAUCACUCCCCUUUUUUUUUUUCAAAGGAUUACUAUUUUUUUCCAAAACCUAUUUUUCUAAAAUUUAUGCCUUUGUGUUAACGAAAAAAAACAAAGAUUAACCCCUAAUUAAUGUAGGAUAUUAUAUAAAACACCUCAAAUGAUAUAUCAUUUAGGAUACAGUCUUAGAAUUAUAACUUUCUAAACAUAUCAUUACAUUUUUUUUUUCUAAAUGGGUGGGCUUAUAUUAACUUAUAUUUUUUACAAAUUUUUUAAAGUCUUUGAUAUCUUUUGUAAUAUAAUAAUAUAUAUUGAAAGGCAACUCAACAUUUAAUAAUGUUCAUUCAUCUACCAUUGAAUUGCAUCAAAUUAAUGAUUUCAAAUUUCUUUCAUAUUUUUAAUCAAAAUAGUUUAACAAUUAAUGGGCUAAUUAUUAGGGUCGUUUUUUAACUUCCCUAGUUUAGUAGAUAAGCAAUGAUGUGCCUGCAAAAUUAGAAUAUAAGUAUGCAUCUAAAAUGAUUUUGCAUAUGAUGUAUCAUUCAUUUAUUAGUAUUAUGAAAUGAAAGUCAAUUAUUACUAAAUACGCAAUCGUAACUUAUUGUAUAUUAACUUUGUAAACAUAUCAUUACUCUUAUUAAAUUUUAAUGUAAGAAAAGAUUCUGACCUUCCAAGGUGUCUAAACUAUACGGUACCCUUGAGAUAUAUUAAUCGGACCCAUAAAAAGAUUAUCUUAAUUCUUGACUAUGUUCAGAAUAUAUAAAAUAUUGUUUUCCAAACAGAUUUUGAUUGUCUACAAACAUGCCCUUGUAUUAAGCAAAAUUCAAGGCAUUAAUUGAUGGUAACUGAAUAAAAGUAAAAAAAUAAUUAGAUUUUCUUAUGAUAUAAUGUUAGGUUGAGUGAUUUUGAAGCUUUAUUUGAUUGACCACCCUAUUCAUAUUUAAGAAGUUAUUUGGUUAAAAAAUUAAUUUAAAUUUACUCAUACCAUACCUUCAGGAAAAAAAAAAAGAAGGGAAAAAUAUGUUAACAUUCCAAUUAAUCAUCUAAAAAUUGGUGCAAAUUUCUUUUUAUGGGAUACUUUCUAUUUUCCGAGUGGAACAUAGUCAAUAUCAAAGAGUCUGUCACUUGACAGUAUCAUUACUUUCUAUGUGCGUUAAGAAACAUGGUCGAACGUCAAAGAAUUAUCCUGGUGAAUAUUUAAUUAAGGACUUGAUCGAAUACAAACAAACACAAAUAAAAGCACAAUGCAUCGAGCCCCUAAAUUUUUGAGCAAGAUAUUGGACAAAGUUUAAGAUUUAAUAUGAUUAUAGUAGUCAUUCCGGCCAGAUAAAUAAUCCAAUUAAAUAAGAUACUUGUUGGCCUCGUUAUUAUUCCUUCACAAUCACAAGCACAGGAAGCUACAGCGACUGGGGGAGCCUGCCACAAACCACAAUCGAAAUUGUCGAAAUGCCAACGGCAUCUCCAAUUUUCUUCUCAAUAAUAAUUGCCAACUCACAGUAGAUGGGCAGCAAUGAGAAUUUUACUUGGAUGAACCAAAUUUGUGGCCAUAUGGCUUUCUCUAGUAGGUUCUGUUGUUGUUGCAGGAGCAGUAGAAAGAUCAAUUUUGAUCCGUUGAAGCCAUCAAAUUCACAAAAUCUAAAUAAAGAAAUAUUAAAACCUCACAAUCUCUCCACUGUUUUCUUACAAAAACACACCACCUGAAUUAUUUCUGAGUUGAGACGGUUGACAAGUUCAGCCACUAUUUGAUUAAUACCAGGCAACUCACCCUUAUCUAACAUCAAUAAAUCAUAUGAAACAAUUAUAAUAUCUAAAUAAAAUUAUGAUAUAAGGAAAAAUAAAACUUAGAUCACCAAGUUUGUCCAAAUGUGUUGCAAAUCUCUCUUAACUUCAAUGUGGAGGGUUCAAGACUCUAUAGUAGUUGUGGAAUUUUUAUAAUUAUGCUGUCUUCAAUGGACUUUAAUUAUAUUAGAGUUUGAUAUGUUUGAUUGAUUGUACAUUUAAAUGGGCUUCAAUUGUAUUUGCUUGGGUUUGAAUUAUAUAUAAUGCUAUAUAGAGAUAGAUUGUUUUUAAUUUGGGUCAGUGCGAUCGAUGGAGCUCAUCUUUCAAAACCAAUCUUACGAUCGUACAGAUCAUGAAAAAUAAAGUCUGAUAAUAUAUUUAGUGCCCAUUUGAGAUUAUAUUUAGGAGGUUUAAAAGUGAUUUUGUAAAGUUAAAAAUUAAUUUUGGUAUGUUAUAAUUAAAAAAAAAAAAUCAGUUUUGAUAAAAUAACCCUAUCCUAUAACAGAUUUUGAAAAGAAGAAAAAAUAGUAUUUUAAUACAUGAUUCUAAGAAUCAAUUUUACACUCAUUACACUAUAUAUAUAUACAUAUAAACGUGCAAACAAUUUUUUUUUCAACAAUAUAUACAUUUUAUUCAUUUGUAUUCUUACAAAAAUAUAACGGCAAGAUUUACCAAAUUAUAUAAACUAUUUUCAAAAUUUACAAUACUUUUGAAAAUAAAAUUUUACCUAAUAUUCAAUUGAUUCUCUUCACUUAUUAUUUUUAUAACACAAGUAACAAUAAUUAUUUUAAAAACUAGGGUAUUACCAAACUAACCCUUAAUGUGAUAAAAUAAUCUAAUAAACGAAAAACACUAAUGGAAAGCAGCCACUAAUUUAUUUCAUGAAAUGUUAGUGGUGGUUUGCAGUAUAAUAAAUAUAAGGAAAAUUACCUCUACACUACCCUUUGUUUCUAAUAUUGUAUUAAUCAACUACUUUUACACUAAGAAUAACCAUUUUACUCUUAAAUGGUCUAAAAAACUAUUUUAUUCUAUAAAAAUUUUUAAAAAUAAAAAAUUAUUCUUGAAUAAAUCUCAAAAUCUAAUAUGAUAAUUUUUAAAUGAAAUUAUAAUUAUAAAAAAUUAACUUCUUAUAAAUUAUAAUUUUUGAAGAGGAAAACUCCCUAUAAUUAUCUUAAACGUCCCUAUAAUUAAUAUUAAGAAACUUCCCUAUACAAAUUAAAUGAAAUUAUAAUUACAAAAGCAACCUUUAAGAGCUCCCUUCAUUUUCAGAAAAUAAAUAAUGGUGCGACCCAACAUUUGAAAAAAAAUAAAAAUAAAUAAAAAUAGGAAGGGGGCAGAAGCAAAACAUAGGGGCAUUAUUGGUAGUUAACAGUUGUCGUGACUCGUGAGUUUUGUCAUUUGCAUUAUUUUAAGAAGAUUUGCAGUGACAAAUUUAAACAAUGAACUCAACAUUAAUAUAACACAAAGACAGGAGGCCCAUUCUUCUAGUGGAUUUGAUUGGAAUUUGGAAAAGGAAAUCAAUCUUCAAUCUAUUUUUCUAUUAAGACAAUUAAAUUUAAAGUCUCUUUCAGACAUUAUUUACUUGAUGUAGUUUACUUCACCAUCCUUUCCUUUCCUUUUCGGAGAUGGGGUCACUUUUUUUCUCUUUGUAAGUUUUAAGAAAAGACAUACGCACACAGCAGCUUCCUUAAAGCUGAAGCGUUUCUUUUUUUUCUCUUUUUGGUAUUUGAUACACUGAAAUCAAAUGGGUGUGAGCAGGCCUCAGAAAGCAGCAAAUGGAGUUUCUACCAGAUGGGUUUAUGUUUUCUGCAUUGCAAGCUUCUUCUUGGGUGUUGUUGUUAUCAACAGGUUCUUCUCUUUCUUUCUCUCUAUCUCUUGUCAUUGCUGAAGAUCUUGUCUUUACCUGAUCAGCUCUUCUUGGAUUGCCUGCUUAUUUUUAUGGGAGUUCAGAAGCUCUUAAUACUUUCCUUUUUUAAUUUUUUACCUUUUCUAUAUGUUACUUUUUCCUUUUGGGCCAUCAUGUUUUCUGCAUAUCUUGUAAAAUCAUAAACAAAAUGCGAUCUUUAUGAAUAGAUUUGGCUCUUGCUUUUGCUUCUGGAUUCGGUGUCUGUAUUCGAAAUUAAUAUUCCGUUGUAUUGUUUAAACCAUUGUGCUUUUUUUUUUUUUUUCAAAUAUCACUAAAGUGCAGUUGGUGGAAAUGGGGGCUGUAUAAAUUGCAAGAUUUGGAGGAUUUGUUAAUCUGGGCCUGUGUUCCCAUAGCUUUCUAGUAAUACAUAAGGUAGAUUUGAUGGUGUUGGGCCGUGGACAUAAUGAGAUUCGUCUCAUUUAGUAAAUUCCUAUCCAAUCUUGAGAAUUUGUUUGCUGCAUUAGCGUACCAAGUAAUUUUAUAUUUUGGCGGAAGGUUCAUGAUCCCGAGAAGGAGAUAUUGUUGCUCUGUGUUGAUUAUAAUGGUGCAAAACAGCUUAACUAGCCAACUCCAUUUAGAUGAAUUAAUGGCUUUGCAAACCAAAGAGAAAGUAGUGGUCAUGGGUUUAAAUGAAAGCUAUUAAAAGCUGUUGGCAGCUAUCUAAGGAUAUUUUCCUGGCGGCAUUGGGUAAAUUAGAGCAGCUGCCUGCACAUAAGUCUUCAAACAGAUUAUGUGCAGAUAUCUUUUACCAGGUUGGUUUUGGAUUUUGAGCUGUAUCUUGGUUGAUCUGAUGAUUGUAAAAUGUUCGUGUGCUUUAUUUAACUUGGUUUGCCUUCAGGCCUUUGGAAUUAACUGCUAGCUUUGUAAUGCGAUCUUGUAGAGGAAAUCUAUCCGUCACUGGGCUUUCUAGAUUUGUAACUUAUAUAUGUGAAGAUAUAAUACAUGAUUGACCUACAGCUGAUUAUGUUCCCUCAGUUUCUUUACAACUUACAUACAGAAAAACUGAAGAUGAAAAUCAAUCAUAUCAAAAUUCAAGUUAAUAUCACAGUAUUGUGCUUCCUUGGUCAAGCUCUCGGUAAAAGGUAUUGGGUAUUUCUUUUGAGAAGUGACCAUAGAAACUUUUGGCAUUCUCAAUGAAGCAUGCUUGAACCACCAAAGAGUAGUUGUCUAUCAAUCAAAAUUGCUGCAAAAAUAUCUGAGUCCACAAGAGUGCUGGUACUCUAAUUGGUCAACAAUUGUGAUUGUAUCGAAGAAGCAACUUCCGUAUUGUAUGAAUGUCUACUCUUCUUGUAUCUAGUGAAGGAUGGUCAUGUUAUCUAACCAUGAUAUUGCUUUAUGUGGAAGAGGAGAUUUUGUUCAAGUGGAACGGUGUAUCUCUUCAUUCUGGAGGCAUUUGGUUACUCCUUUACUUGGACUAGAGAAUAUCAUUUAUGGGGUUGGACAAAAAGAAGUAUUCUGGCAGAAAAGUAUCAUGAGCAAGAAAGAUAAGGUCAACUUUUGCUGACAUGAGAUUUAAGUUGUUCCUCAAUCCCCAUUGUUUGAAUGUAGAAACUAGUCAUUUGAUAUGUCUUGUUCUAAUGGUGUGUCUCUGUACAUCACUAUACAGUGCACACUAGUCUUUGGCAUAUUAUGACUUAUAUGUACCAUAGGGAAUAUUUAAUCUAGGCCUUUGUUUUUUAAUGUUAUAUUUGUUGCUUGAUAUAUCAUUUUACUCUUUUCCAUUUACAUGAUGCUAUUUUAUUAACAUUAUUUUCAUGUCCACUGACAAGCCGCAAUGCCAAUUCGACAGGUUUUGGGCUAUUCCUGAUCCACUUGAUAGGGAUAAGGUUUCACCUGAGAAGCAUCGAUCAGAAGUACUACAUCCUACAGUUGAUUGUGAGAAGAAGGCAAGUUAGAAGGAUAGGGCUUUUGAAGCUCCACUGACUUUGUAAAACUUAUUAAUAAAAUUGGGUAUUCUGUUACAGGAGGCUUCCUUCCAGACAGGGGACAUCCUUUCUCAAGUUUCACAAACUCAUGAUGUAAUCAUGUAAGUUGCAUGUUGUGAUGAUUUGUUAAAAAUAAGGAUUCAGGACAAAAUCCUGGUUCUUCAAUUGUAUAUUUCUUGAUCUUUAAACUAAAAGCCCCUGGUGACAUCAGCUAUGUAAAAUGCGUUUGAAGUCUUUGUUUGAUAAAUUUGUGUCAAAUGAUUACAGGACAUUGGACAAAACAAUCUCUUCAUUGGAGAUGCAGCUAGCAGCAGCUAGGGCUGCCAAAGGUGAUACUGAAGAAGCUUCUCCGAUUGUUACAAAGUUGGGAACUGAGAACUUGAAGGCACGUCGGAAGGUUUUCUUUGUCAUGGGAAUCAUUACUGCAUUCAGUAGCAGGAAGCGAAGAGAUUCGAUCAGGGAAACUUGGAUGCCUAAAGGUUUAGAGCAUAAGAAGAACUUUUCUACUUUUCUCUCAUCUACAUCAUUAUGGUUUGAAAUAGGUGUAUGUUUACACUAGUUGGCUAUUGUUUAUUUUAGGGGAUGGCUUACUGAAGUUGGAGAAUGAGAAGGGAAUAAUAAUGCGGUUUGUUAUAGGACAUAGGUUGGUCUACUUGAAAGUGCAAGUUAUUAAUUAUCAUACUAAUUAGCUUACUUCAGAGUGUUAGUAUUGACAAAAUAUCUUUUACUAAAUUUUGUGGUCAUCAGUGCAACUGCUGGUGGUGUUCUGGAUCGGGCUAUUGAUGCAGAAGAUGAGCAGCACAAGGACUUCCUGCGACUGGUAUGUAUACCGAUUCAAAUGUGUGUGGCUGGGAGACUGGGAGACAGAACUACAUUGUCAUCACAUUUUUUAGUUUCCAAAGAGAUUAGACCAAAUUAUAUCCAUCUAUUGUGAAGCUUAGUAAGAGUUACUGUUACUUUUAUUGCAGAAUCACAUAGAAGGAUAUCACGAAUUGUCAUCGAAAACCCAAAUAUACUUCUCAACAGCUGUUGCCAAGUGGGAUGCUGACUUCUAUAUUAAAGUUGAUGAUGACGUGCAUGUGAAUCUUGGUGAGUGUAUCUUGCAUUUGAACGCAUCUGCUCACUAUUCGGAGAAGAGCGUGAAUAGAUUUGAUUUCAAGGUCUUUGAAUUAGUUUCAACAUUGAACAGGCAUGGUUGGUUCUACUUUGGCCCGUCAUAGAUCCAAACCGCGUGUUUACAUUGGUUGUAUGAAGUCUGGACCUGUUCUGGGACAAAAGUAGGGAAUGGAAAAUGUAACUUUUCUGAAUUCUUUCUGGUUUUAAAAAAUUCACAUUAGUUAUCUAAUUUAGUACCUCUGGAUAUAAAAAUAUGCAGAGGGGUCAAGUACCAUGAGCCAGAAUAUUGGAAAUUUGGCGAGGAGGGGAAUAAAUAUUUUAGGCAUGCAACAGGGCAAAUAUAUGCAAUCUCCAAAGAUUUGGCAACCUAUAUUUCGGUAAAUAGGUUAGUCUCUAUGUGAAUAAUCAUUCUAUCAUCACUAUCAAGUCUUAUUGUUUUAAUUAGUAUGACUUCACUCUCCAGGCACAUACUCCAUAGAUAUGCAAAUGAAGACGUCUCUCUAGGUUCUUGGUUUAUUGGGCUUGAUGUAGAGCACAUUGAUGAUCGAAGCCUCUGCUGUGGGACUGCCCCUGGUAUGACUGUGAUGCCUAUUAAUGCUCCAUAUAUACAUGGUUAACUCACCUUUUUACUGUCUCCUUUGUUAAUCAAGGUAAUGACAGAGUUAAAUGUGUGAUUAAUAGAUUGUGAGUGGAAGGCUCAAGCAGGAAAUCCUUGUGCUGCGUCAUUUGAUUGGAGCUGCAGUGGCAUAUGCAAGUCAGUGGAGCGAAUGGGAGAGGUACACCAGCGGUGUGGUGAGGGCGAUGAAGCAAUCUGGCAUACAAGUUUCUGAGACUUGCCUGCCCUCUAGCGGUUGUAAAAUAUUUGCAUAUGUGAUGAUCAAGACAGUGGUUAAGGAACAGAAACUGCCCGAUUUUUGCUUAUUGAUGCCUCGGGGACAGAUAGUUGGUACAUGAUUAAAUUAAUUCAGUGCACAUAUGGAUUCUAAUCUCAGGAAAAAUGAAUGACAAUCUAUAUUCUAGCUUCAGAGUUGUUUAGCCUUGUUUGACAACGACAUAAUAGAUUAAACCGGCAUUUAUUUGCAAAAGUAAUUGGUGGUUGAUCGAUCUAUCAUGGUCAGUCGUCGGGAAUUUGGGGUACCUACGCAACUGCCGACCUUUUUUAUAUGUGAAUGCGACUGUGACUGUGAUCAAAUUGCUUAAAUAACUAUAUAUAUAUAUAUAUAUAUAUAUAUAUAUACACACACGCUGUCGCCUGAAUCGCAAUCACAUAUUAGCCUUGUUUCGAUAGCGGGAGUCUCAAAUCUGAACUGAAGAAGAAGUUGGCGUAGCUAGCACAUGUUACAUAUGUACGGCCGAAAUUUUCGACGGAAAACAAAACUCGAUCAAGAUUGUAAUAGGAAUAAAACCAACCAUUAUUAGUUUCAUUUGGUUGAAGUUGAUGCUGGUGUUGAUAAUUAAUGGAGUUGAAUGCUAAAUAGAAGUGGACCCACGUACGUCCAUUAAGGAUCUUCCUAUCCCCAGCUCCACCGUUAUCAAGGCAAUGAUUGAAUAUAUACAAAAUUACCUAAUAGGUUUAGGGUACACAAAUUUAAAACUCAAUUUUAAUUUUUAGACACAAAUUUUUAAUCAUUAGAUCAAAAAAGAAUAAAGAGCCAAGAUCAGAGAUCUUUUUUUGUAAAAUUUUUAUAAGAGCUUUUUUUUUUUUUUUUUAACCCAAAAUAAAUGGAAAUUGGAGAUAAAUUGGAUGUAUUUAAAUUUUUUCAAAGGUGGAUGCUAGAAAUUGGAGGAAAAUAGUGUUUGUUGCUUGCUAAAUUUAGAAAAUUUGUAUUUAUUUUUUUGGAGGAAAAUAGUGUUUAUUACUUGCUAGAUUUAGAAAAUUUGUAUUUAUUUUUUCUCUUUCAAAAAAAUAAAUACAAAUUUUCUAAAUUUAGCAAGCAACAAACACUAUUUUCCUCCAAUUUCUAGCAUCCACCUUUGAAAAAAUUUAAAUACAUCCAAUUUAUCUCCAAUUUCUAUUUAUUUUGGGUUAAAUUAUAAGUUUGAGGGGUAAAAAGGUCAUUCCGUUAAAUUUGCUAACGGAAAUUAGACGGAAGUGGAAGAAUACAACAAAAAGUGAACUUCAGGUGGCGCGCUAAAAAAAAAAAAGUGUUUAUAUAUUUUUAAAAAAGACAAAACAAAUAGGUGGACGGUUAUAAAUUUCCCUUUUUUUUUACCAAUCCUUUUUUCUUUACACAAACUUAUUACCACAGUUAGGGGGAUUGCAAAUGUUUUAGUGGCUGACAUGCUCUCUUGUUAUUUGUGAUGAGGAAUAUUAUUAUUAUAUACUUGGCCAGAAAACCGUUUAAUUGCAAUGCAUGCCCACGGCCGAGGGCCGGCCAACCAAAUAGUAGCUAGUAUUUGAUUUGAUUUGAUUUGAUUUGAUUUGAUGAUACUCACUCCGUACGGACAAAAAGGAAAGGAAAAGGGGGCUGGAGCUAGCAAAGAAAGGAACACGUGCUAAUGAAUAAUCAUACAUAUUAUUAUUGGUUGGAGCCCAGUCCCGCCCUCAACUCAUAAAAAGUCAGUGAGGCUGGGUCUCAGAUACGUAGAGAGGUGGGUGGUGACGGGCGAGAGGACUGAGGUGACCCCCCGCUUUCCGCCUUUCACCAGCAACGAAAAUUACAGUACAUGAUCAAAAUCAAUCAUCAAGAUUCAUGACGGCGAAAAAACACUCGAUCGCCACUGUUGAAUGAUCCAUUAAGUCAUCAUCUCAGAUUCUCAGUUCUGGUAAAAGCUACAAAAUAAAUUAGAGAAAAGCAGACACUAUUGAACCAACGAAUUAGACCCAGAAAACAAACCUUCCCAUAAUUUAAUAUCAGCCUAGCCUACCAUGUGAGAUCGUUCAAAAAAAAAAAAAAAAAAAAAAACCCUUAAAAAAGUAUUUAAUUAUUCCCACUGGGCCCGAGCCGGGCUGCUCAUUUCUCUCUUAAUUUUAAUUAUAGGAGAUGGUUGGAUUUGAUUUCACCCCAUGGGCUUCAUUAAAAUUCUCAAGUCCAACUUGUGGAAACUUUCUUUCUUUCUUUCUGUUUGACCACCACCUGCAAAGCAUUCAAAUUUCCAAGGAAUUGACUCACUAAUAAAUAACUUGUACGCAAUGACCAUUAUAAGCCUUAAUUCGUUUCUUAUUGUCAACUCAAACUGCGUUGCCAGUUUUAAUGUUUUGUUAAUGAGCAUCUCACAACUCGGAUGGGGUGAGGGAGACUGACUCAACAAACUCAUCAGGAAAUUGGUUGAUUAAUUUACGUGUUAGAUUUGACCGCUUCAAUUCAAUCUUUUUCAAACUCAUUCUUCUUUCUCCUCUACUCUUGGUCGGUGCCAUUUUAUCAUAAUCACUUUUCCCUUCCAACAUAAAUGGUAAAUUCAUGUUCUUUUUUCUCUUUUAUUAAAUUUAAUAAUUGUAUUUUGGGUUUCUCCCUUUAAACUAUGAGAGUAAAAUUUCUCUGUACUUAGUUAAGAAAAUGAGCUGAAUAUACACGCGCAUGAUUAAUGUAUGUAAAGAAUUUAAAUGAAAGACUAGUUGGUUAAAAAUUUGUUGUUACUCGUAGGUUUUCACUUGGGGAAGUGUAAAAUAUAAAACUUAAGCAGCGUAACAAAGGUACAAAAUAUGACUAAAAAAAUUGUGACGAUCUUGAUUUGAAAAAAGAAAAUAGAACUUAAGAAUAAUCGAAAGAAGAAAAAAACAACGGGGUCAAAUCUGAAAUUUUUUUUAAAAAAAAAAAAAAGGAAAAAGAAGAAGAAGGUAAAUUAAGCAAACGUGAAAAACGAUGGACGCGGGGAGAGACCAGUGACCACAGACCACACGGAGCAUCAGCCGUAUAUAUAUAUAUAUAUAUGUAUUAUAAAUGGGGGGUCAUUAGUCGGAGAAGACAACAAGUUGAUGUAAGCAGAAUAGCAUUCCCUCAAUUUCUCAACUCAACAGCCCACCAACACCAUUCGUAUUCAUAUUCAUUUUCAUGCGUUAAUUUGAUAUUUUGUUGCCUCUCAGCCAACUUCCUUCUCUUACCUAUUUAUAUAUAUAUAUAAUAUAAAUAUAUAUAAAAUAAGCAACUGUGCGGGCACACAUAACGCGAAUACUACUGUAGCAAAUUAAAAAAUAGGAAAAGAAAAAAAUAAAUCUCGGGCCUACGGGCAAUCGAAGGAGACGACUCUCUACCGCUAAUCUUGAAAUCCUUAUCCGAAUCUUGUGUUCUCUCUUCUCUGUAAUAAUCUCUGCUCCCUCUCUUCUCUUCUCUGCAGUAACCCCCAUAUCUCUCUCUCUCUCUCUCUCUCUCUCUCUCUCUUCAUAUAUUUAAUUAUUCUCAAUUUCUCAUAUUCAAUUCAGUAGUCUUUUUGUUUUUCUUUUUUGCUCCUUUUCAAGCCCUCGAAGAAUCGCUGCGCUUCACGCCUAGCUAGUAAUUCGAUUCAACCGGGGGUUCGUGUUUGGAUAUUCCUUUUCUUUUCUUACAAACACAAAGAAGUUGAUUUUAUCAUUAAUAAUUCAUCAAUGGGUUUGGCUUCGGUUUUGUUGGAGAUAUUGCAAAAACCCUCGAUGGUUGACGUGAUAAGGGAGCUUAUG